UUGUGACGGAAAUGAGCACGAGGUUUCCAUCACCUUGCAAGCUCAGCCGGAACCGCCCUUUUGUGUAGUUAGUCUCCGAUUGUCUACACGAAAGCGUCCCGUUUCUCUCAAUUGUCUGUCCAGGCAAAACGGUGUCUGUAGGAUUGCUGAAGGUCUCCCACAAGCUCCCCGAGUUUUGGUGUUGAAGGACGAAGUUUCCGGUGUCAUUCAUGACCCCGUUCGCAACAGUCCCCAAGGUUAUUUCGGAUUUCCAUAUCUCUCCACCCUGAGGAUUGUUAAGAACUAGUCCACUGUUGGCAGUCAAGUUCAGAACUGAUCCCCUAGGUGCAACCAUGGGGUUGUUACCGUCAUAUGCAUACCAAAACUACGGUUUUGUCUGGGAUUUUCGCAUACCAUAUCGAAAGCAAGAAACGAUCAUUGUUUCCGAGGGGCGAAAAUCCAAACGCGAAAUCACCGGAAGGAGAAAGCCAUGAUGAGGAGUCGCCUGUAGUUGCAGUUAGAGAACUCCCAACUGCUACUCUUCCAUUAUUUUGGGAAAUCACAGAAAUUGGUAGCAAAAACAAAGAGGAGAACAAAAGCAUCUCUACAGAAAGAGCCACUGCCAUUGCAAAAGCACCAAUUUUUCAACUUGGCUUGAUUGAUUAGCUAUAUUUCUUAGUAAAGCAUUGGUCCUUGUUAUAUCUUUAAGUAAAUGCGUGUGCACCAUGUGCCUGUCAUUUUCUAAGUUUUUGCCUGGAAUUAAAGGCGUCUACACCAUUUUUUGAAGUCACACACAACAAUAUCUCCGGGCCUACAGAAUAAAUUCUCCGAACCUACACAUAUCACAAGAAUUUCACUUUGAAAAAAAAAAUAUAAUGAAUAGUUCUAUAUAUAAUGACACCGAGACUUUUUGUGAUUGAAUUUAUUCUCUCUCAACUCCUUUGUAAUGUUGCAAGUUGGAGCAAUAUUGACGUAAUUAGCAAUGGUCCGCUGACUUGUCUCUCUCAAAUCUCUUAUCAUCCUACUCUCAUCCCUCGUCUGUUUUAUGAUUCUACUUACUUAAGCACUUAUAAAUGUUCCAAAUCAGCAAAGGACUUGUAACUUAAAUAAUUAAUAAUAUUUAUCACUACACUCGAGAUUCUAGGUUCCAAAAUAUAAUAUAUAAUAUAUAUGAAUGUUUCCGAACCAAAAGGACAAGUAAAUACGAGCAUGACUCACGCUGCAUGGGUCGGCCAUUCAAGUCCACCAGUCAAAAUUCAACAAUGGGGCCCACAAAGAAAAUUUGAAAAAGUACAUGCAGAUUGGGGACGGAUACAAAGAAAAUCUGAAAACAGACCUCCAGAACCAAACAAAGACGACUAAGCCUUUAAGUCAAGUGACAAGAGACUUAUAUCUUCACAAAAACAAAGACGACUAAGUCUCAAUUUCUGUAUUCACAAAAAAAAAAGUACUAACUGAAGUUUUUAAUGUAUGAUUACGUCGUUGGGGUAAAACACCCGAUGCCGAGUUGAGAUAAUCACAGGGUUGGGGAAUCAAGAACCUCUUCGAAUGUCACAAUCUAGCGCAAACGGAUGUAGAGACUCAAACCACUUAUUUUAAAUCAUACGGCCUUCAUUAGCCUAUCCUAUUGACCCACAUGGUCCAAAUCUGUCUCUCCCCUCUCUUGAACGGUUUGGAUAUCUCGAUUUGUCGAUUUUGGAUUGCGAGAUUCAAAGAGAAUCUGAUUUCAUGUUUGAGGUGAGGUUUGACGACCAUUUGAAGCCCGUUGAGGCGUGGCCCAUCUCAUCAGGUCGGGUCAGCCAUUUCGUACCAGGUUGGAUCCCAGGUCAGGCCAACCAUUUCAUUAGCCUAAGAUGGACCUGACAGACGAGGCGCUUGGAUAUUGCCUACCGCGACCAAAUGGACCCAUGGACUCAUUAGAUGAUGAGUCUGGACCCUGGUGUGUGUAAAGCCCACCUCAGCUCGAUCCAUAUUCGAUCGAUACUACAAAGAAGGUGGAUAUGAGGUAAAGGUAGAGUAAGCUCCAAGUCAUGUGGAGGUCAGUCGAGAUUGAACACACGUUCAUAGAAUCAUAGUAUCAAAUUCAAGUCCAAAUUUUAACACUACGAAACCGAAAAGCAUUGUUUCAGUCCAACAACCCAAACUUCCUUAAAAAAACUAAGACAAAAACGACGACACUAGGAAACGGAAAAACAUGCAACUCAGAAAACCAUUACUCUAGUCCAAAUGAGGUUCCUCAAUGCCUCAAGCUUUUAUAAAACACCAUAGCCUGAACCUUUUCCUUUGCGCCUUCUUUGCUUCACCAGAAACGUUCUUAAUGAGCUCCUCUUCAAAUUUGGGACGAGCAGGCAUUAGGCUGUGCACAAUGCUGUAAACGCCCCUAGCCCUUGCCACACCCUAGGUGCGUACGCGUGCAUGUCCGACCUGAGUUAUCUUAUUACGCGCGCAGUUUGAUCUUCCCGUAUUGACAUCCCUGCUGUCUAUUCUCCUGCGAAUCCUUCUGCUGGUGACUUCAUCCGAGUCCAUUUUCUUGCUCCUCAGUGCAUGUUCAUCUGCUUUUCCCUGUUAAUAAAUAUAGGAAUCCCAUAACAAACAGCAUUUGACAAAACAGAACGUAAUAAUAACAACAAAACUUGACUCCAUCCUCAGUGCAUGUUCAUCUGCUUUUCCACUUCAAAGCAGCUGACGGCACGAUUCGUACUUGGACUCCAAAAUGUCUAGAUUAUGGAGAAACCAGCCUUCUAUCCAAAACACACAAAGAAGUGUAUUUUCCGUUUAUACCAAUUAAGUGUGUUGAAGCAUGUCCCACAUGGCCACAUAGGAAACUUGUUGAGGUUUAAAUCCUCUUAUAUAGAAAGUUCGACUACUAAUUGCCUUGAGGCCUUAAUUCUGUAUAAAACCAUACCUAUUGAAUUGCACACGUGCUUAAGUUAAGGUCAGUAUUGAUGGUAAUUAGUAGUGGGCUGCUGGGCCGUCUUAAAAAAACUGGUACAAAGGGCAAUUUAUAGAAGCAGUGUUGAGAUAAGGGCAAUUCAUCUGUUCUUUUUAGAAGGAUAUAUAUGAAUGAAGCAAGGUUUAUCUGCUAAUGCGGCUCAGCCCUUUAUCAAAAAGUGAAAGAUCAAAAUUACUUUUACAGCAAGAGCAAUACCAGAAGAUGUAAUCUAAAUUAUUUAUAUUUGGUUCCCUUGAAAUCCUUUUGACUGCUUCAACAUACUAUAUGCAGACAGAACCAGAACCAAGUCCAGACUCACUCGUAAUAGGUCUCCUCAUCCACAACAAUAUCCCAGCUUUCCCUUGUCGUGGUUUUCCCAUAUUUGUGCACCUUACUGCAAAGAGAGAGCAAGUUAACUUGUCAAAGAAAAACCAGAACAAUAGAUGCCAAUGCAGUUCAAAAAGUUUAUUUCCCUUCAUACCCAUUUCCGAAGUGCUCUUCUCCCCAUGUCCUUGACCAACCUAGACAUGAGAGAACAAAAACAGAGUUACAUCAGAUUAAAUUAUUGAAAGAAAAAGGUUCACUUCUGUUGUAACAAAUCGACAUUAGAAUCAAGCAACCACGCUAUGAAAUACAAAUUUAAAAUGUAACAAUUUACUGUGUCUAAAAGGAAUCUUGAAAUAAAAUAGUUAAACCCUAAACAGCACCACUGCAAAUAGCAUAAGAAAAUUAAAAUUAACCCUAAAGAAAUUGGGAGAGAAGAAUAUGAAAAGGGAAUACCUUUCGGCCCCUUUGAGUUAUUGGAAAAAACCCAACAGAGCAAAAGAUAAACAAAAAUACAGGCGGAAAGAAAAUAAAUUUUCAACUUGUAAGAUUCAUACGCGAACAGAUUGGUGGUCAAAAGCAUUUCGGAAUUCAGAGCCAUCAAGCUUUUUGAUCUGCAUGGAAAUUAUUUAUGAAGUUUGAGAUUCUUAUAGACGCUUUAGACACAUCGACAUAUUGAGAAAGCAAUAUUCAACAACCUAGUACCCAUGCUCCAUAGAAGGUUGAGAAAAUAUGAAUGUCUGGACUCUGGAGUGAGAAAGUAAAAGGACUUACCGCAUACUUCAUAUCUUCUAACUUUGUGUAGUCUACAAUCCCUGUUGUGCCUACAAAAAAGGCAUAGGACAAAAGCUAAAUCAAUCGAAAUUCUGAUGUCAUGAUCUAGGUCUUAGGAUUAAACUAUUGAAAUAACACUAUAUGAAAUAGCAGUGUAUAUCCCAAAAAAAGUAUGAAAUCUGGUUGAUAAUUGCAGAGUUCGAAGGGAUUUACCUUUGGAUUCUUCGGCUUUCAGAUGGAGUUUGCUUAUGUAUGGGAGAGAGAGGUGGAGCGGCUAGGGUUUGAGUAUGGAAGAGAUGAAAAAUGGAGAGAACACCUGUUUUGGCUGCAGCAACUCACACACUCCGGACAAAUCUGCAAAUGUCUAAAGGGGGGAAAAUAUAAAAAGAAACCUUAACAACUGAAUUCAAAGAAACAUUAUUACAUUGUAAAUAGCAUUUCACAAAAAAAAUAAAAUAAAAUAAAAUAUACUAAACUAAACUAAUUACACUCGGAUUGCAAUGCUAUCAUUUAAUAAUAGGAAUUCCCAUAACUUAGCAGAAGAUCCUGCAUCUGCAAAGGAUCCUUUAAAACCUAUUUUUUUUAACAACCCCACACCUGCAACACAUCCAGUCAAGGUAAACCAAUAGCACCCUCAUGCAGAGCUCUUCUGUGCAUAUAUACCCCUUAUAAGUAAUCUUAAUCAAUCAGUUAUCAUGAAUAUACAACUUAUAUUAAUUUUCUACAAUAUCCAACACACAAAUAUAACAGAAGAGGAAACUUUUACUUAAGCAGCACAAAAUGAUAUCCUCUGCAUUUCAUUCCAAAAUCCAUCACUCUUAUGUCUUUGCCUGCACAGUUUUUGCUCCAACAUAGCCUGCAAUGAUGAUAUAGCACUAUCAAUAAUUAAGACAUAAAGAAAGGCUAUCCUAGCUAGGUAUUAUGAUUGGAGUAAACCAACAACACCAUAAGUAAAGUAGCAGACCAAAUUUUUUUUAGAAUUGAUGUCUUAACAUGUUUAAGUAGCAAAAAGAUUACAACACAUUGGAUGUGUUAACACGUCCAUAAGCUGAUGACUCCCUCUCCGGUUUACCACAUCAUUCUUAAUGUACUCAACAAUGCAGCAGCAAUUAAAAGUCCUUGGAAAAUGCCAAGCUACUACAAUGACAUAACGAAAACUAUAUCUCACCUUACACCCUUGUUGGCAUAGACAACAUAUCCGUCCUUGUUCGGGGUGAAUCAUAAUCCUGAAUUCAAUUAUCAUCAUCGUCGAGAAUGUCAAACUGUAAAUCAACCAUGCAUGGAACAAAACUUAGAAAUUAAACAAUUAUCAAAGCUUAUGAAGAAUGCUAAACCCAACUAAUUCGAAACAUAAAGUAACCCGAAAGAGAGAAAACUUAUAAAUUUUACAUAAAUUAUAAUCCUUAACAGAAGGAUGGAACAAAACAGGUUCAUUCUUAAGAAUAGAUGUAACUAGUAAUAGGCCUGCGCGCUGCUGCGGGACUUGAAUGCACCAGCCUUAACAACAUGAAUAAGACACAUUUAACAUGAAAAAAAUUCAACAUAAUCAUGAACGAACAAAAAGGAUAGCUGAGUGAACAGUGUUCGUAAGUAAAACAGCUUAGUUUUUAUAUACAUUCAACCAAGCUGAUUACAAAAGAUGUGAUUGUAAAAAAUGUUCUGCUUACCUGAGAAACAAAAGCAACAUGCAUUUUACACAUACAAGACAUCUGAUAUUAAACCUAAAAUCAUGUAAUUCUGUAUGAAGUGGAGAAUAAUGCAGAAAGAUGGUUUUCUAUAGUGCUGCCAAUGACAAUUAAUUUCUCAUGAAAAAAAAGAAAAGAGAAACACAGGUAUAAAAGAAUAUUAUUUUUUAUAGUUGCAAACAUUAUGAAUUCCAAAAAGAAAAACUACAGAUAACACUUCAAUCACAGAUCUAAGCAUCUAAAACGUGGCAACCCAGAUACCAUUCAAGACAUUGCUCAGCAUCAUGGAUAAACUAACCUAUCUGUGUCCCUGUGCUCACUGCAUGUCAUAUACACCCGACCAACUGGGCAUAGGAGCAUAAUGAGGAAAACUUUCAGCACCAUUUUGUACCUGAAAAAUGAGGGAGGAACUAAUUAAAGCGUUCCUCACUUAGAAUAAAUAAUGCAUGCAUAAUAGCCAAAUGGACAUUGCGCAUAUAAAUUGUUGUGGCAAUAACUUGCAAUAGAAAACGUAGUUAAAAAUAAGAUAUACGAAAUACCAACAUUGCAAUGGUAUUUUUUUUUUCCAUUCGAUUGUACUGAAGCAUGCAUCUUAAAUUAGGUACUACGUGAGGUCUCUAUAAUGAAAUGGGAGAUUGAAUACACUUGACGAAACUGAAAAUUCAAAUAUGCACACGCUCCAUAGUGUAUCUUCACAACCAAAAGAAACGUUUAUAUAUACGACAUAUGUUUGACAUUGUUUUUCCCCACUCAAAUCGUCUUGAGAAAAUUUGACUACUAAAAACUACAAAACUUUGAUUAAAGAAUCAAAUAGAAUAGCAUGAGAAAGUUAUUAUUACACCAUACCUGACUUUUUUGCAUAUAAAAACACCUGUAUUUCACCUGAUUUUGUAAUGAAAUACAGAUGCUUGUAGUUCACCAGUACAUAGCUGCCUGUCAUUUGUUGUCUUCUUCGGGUUCAAGAUCCUUAUAUUGUCUGAGACGUGAAAGAAUCAGAAAUUGUAUACAGUUUGAUAAUGAAACAUGUAAUGUGAUUAUGUGACAACAAUGCACUCCUCUCUCUCAGAGAGAUAAACAAAGAUAUCAAAAACAGAGAGGCAAUGUUAAGAUAAACAGAAAGGCAAUGUCACAUUGUUUUGCAUGAUCUUGAAAAUUGGGGAUAAGGUAUUCAAAGUGCUAACAAACACGUGCAAAUGGGGAUAAAAAAGGGGAUAAAUUGAAAAAUAUAUAUGCUCUUAAUCGAGAACUUCAUCAAAUAAACAAUAAAAUCUAAUGUAAUCUGUCCAAAACCAAAGAGAGUGAUAAUUUGGAGGCACUAUAAUGUCUUGGGCAUCGCAUACUUGCGGUAUAUGAUUGAUGCAUCUGUUGCUCAAUCAAAUCAUUUGCUUGGCUAAAAAAGUUAUUUUUACAAUAAAUAGAUUCGCAUCCAAUUUAUGAGAAAUCAUGCAAAAGUAAAUGUAAAUGAUAACGGAAUCAUGAAUGCGAAUAAGAAACACAUACAUGCCAAAAAGAAAACCUACUAUAGUGUGUCAAGUUACUUGCAACAUAAUUUUUUAUGCCAUUAUCCAUUUCGCAAUACUUUAAAAAAAUUUCGUUUGAAAAAGCUUUGCUAUGAUUUUUAGGUUUGGGAAAAAUAAUACCAUAAAAAUUAAAAAACAAUUACUAAAAAUCAUGGCCUGUUAAUAGCAAAAUACACUCCUCAACAAUGUAUAUGAACAUGUGAGUUGAAAAUUUGAAAUAUUCAACAACUAAAAGAAAGAAGCAAAAUCAGAAGAAAAGAAAGAGAUACUCACUCAAAAAUAAAGAUGUAAUAAUGCCAGGCUUCUUCUCCUCGGCAUCCAGAAUUCCAUUGUUGUCUCCAUCUUCAACCUUCAAUGUAUUUAAAAUAUGAAAUGGAAAAAACCCAGAAGAAAUCAUUACAUAAAAUAAAAUUAUCCAAGUAAAAUUAAAGGAUGGAUAGAAAAGAAAUGAAGGCAGUUUAUUCGGACUUAAUUAGAGACUUACUGAAUAAGCUUGAAAUCUAUCUCACACAUCUCUUAAACUUCAACCCCUAUCCUCCUUGCCUCUGUAAUAUGCACACAUAUAGAAAAAGAAAUCGACUUUAGAACCUACAUUGAUACAUAUCUUGUGUGAGUAGGUCUUUCCUGCUUUUCCCCAAUCAUGCAUAUCAAAGAAACGAAAAAGAAGGAAAUCACCCAUAUAUAUAAUACCUUAAGUUUAAAUGCAUCCCAAUUUUGGGUUCCAACGUCACAGAAAGAAUGUCUUAUACAUAAUUUAACAGUACCCCCGACAUCGGUCCAUCCAUUCGUAUUAAUAGUUAUUGUCUGCACAAACCUCAAUUACCUUACAAUCUAUCAUUAUUGACAUAAAGUUCAUACAAUAUGGGACAUCAUGACCUCUCUUUGGCCAGCACCAGUUUUUCCAAAAUGAAAUCAACUAUUACUGCAUUAAUUAUGGGUCCAUCUGGCCAAUUCAUUGAAUUCGCAGACCCAAAAAUUUCACCAAUUAACUGAAUUUACAUACAAAUGGGAGAAGUACAAAAACAAAGACAAUGGCAUAAAUUAUACCAUAAAAAUUACACUACGAAAAAUUUAGAGACCAAAAUCCUUGUUAACAGAAUUUAUUCACAUUAAAAGACACAAUUUCGGUUCAAAAAACUAUCAAAUUUAAACUUUGAUAUCAUAUGAUAAAAUCUUAAUUAAACUCACAAUCUCAAGAAGUUGAAACCAUGUUAAGUAAAAGAAACAAAUUGAAAAAAAUUAAGAUGUAAAUAUUGAUAAGAACAACAAAAGUGGCAAAUACAUUAUACACAGAUAGGACCCUGAAAUAUCGGAACCAGCAGCAACAAAUAGAAUUAAGAAGAAAAAGGAUUAGCAGACUUAAUAAAUGAGAAAUAGGAUAACAGGUACGAACUCAGUUUUUCCACUAUGAAUAAGAGAUCCAGUGGCAUAACCUAACAUUAGGUAGAAUCAAUGCUGGUUGAUUGAAUUUUCAUUCCCUGAAAAUUCAGAAAAUGAUGUGUUUUGAUCUGCAGAUAGAAGCAUUCUAUAUAUAUAAAAAAAAAAUAUAUGGAGACAUGAUGAGGUUCAGAAACCAAACCAUGUCGGUAAAAUCCUCUUGGCAGGUUGCUCAAGGUUGACCUCCUAGCCCUUGGACCAGUCAGGAGACUUGGCCUCCUGCUUUCAAGUUUGGAAGGGAAGUAAAAGGUUCAGCCAAUAAGUAAAAGAAUUGAUUCAGAGGAUAGAAUCAAAAUUUCAAAAAUAUUAUUUGAUGCGAUUAAAACUGUUCCCAAUGAUAAAAUGAAUAAAAAAAUCCAUUGGAAUAAAAGAAAAAGAAUGAUUAAAAUUAUUCACAACCCUUGCUGUUUUUACCUAACCAUUUGUAGGAUCCAUAAAGGGCCAAAAAAAGUUUUUUACUUCUCCUCUAGUCCCAUAAAUUUGGAUUCCAUCUCGUCCAAGCAAACUAACAAUCAUUACUAUACUUUGUUUUAGCAUGCGAACACAAAUCUCAAAAAAAAUAGAUAAUUCAUUUACAAAUUUAAAUUCAAUUUUUAUAUCUCGAUAUUUGUUUGUUAAACUCAAUGAUCAAACUUCAGACUCAUGCCUUCCAAAAAGAAAAGAAAACGAAGAAGAAUUGAAAGCACUUCCCAUUCCAAGGAAAGAGCAGCCAUAAUUAGGAUCCAAAACUCAUUCUUUAGUCUCCUCAUCUGAAGCUAUAUAUAAUCAUUGAACAAAAACGUUUAACGUCCAGCAGAAAGCAAACUGCAAUCAAAAUUUCAAAAAAGCAAAAUAAUGCGCAGAUAAUCGACAGCUGCAACAAACAAAAAAUAGAAAAAUCAAAUGCAGAUUGAAGGAAAAAUCGAGACCGCAAUCGAAACUCAUGCUUGUAUGGGUAAUUAAUUGUAGAUACCAAAUCAUCAAAAACCACUUGUCUACACCAAAUUGCAUACAAAAGAUAUUGGGGCAACUCAGAUUGUGCAAUGAAAAACAAAGUCAAACUACGACGUAGAUGUCUAUCGGAAUUUCAUUCAAAGAAUGAUUAAAUAAAGACAAUGGCAUGCCAAAGAUUAAAUACCCUAAGCGACAGUGUCAGCCAUGAGCUUCCCUCUGUGAGAGCACAGGGGUGUAACUGCAAAAGAAAGCCGGAGACUGAGGGCAAACUGUAAUUUCGUCAAAAAGGAGGAAGUGUACAAAAGAGAAGUGACAGCAAUAAGCGUAGACGCCAAGGACAAAGUAAAUAUGUAUUUGUGAAUGGGGUUAAGCUGCUGCUAGCUUUGUAUAGUGUAAUAAUGCAAUUGCAAAUAGACCAAGUUACUGCUACUAAAAGCUUUUGCAAAAUCAUAAAACUCUUAACAGUUUGAACCCUACCGAAAAGUUUAUAUGAGUUAAAGAACAGUCGUACUUAAGUGCAGCAAGAUCAUAAGCUCUUGCAGCUUCUCCUCCAUAUCAGAACCACCUGCAGUCCAAAUUAACCAAGAUUCAAGGCCAAAGCAAGAACAAAUUAGUGAUAAUUUAAACUAAAGUCCCUAAUUAUUGUUGCAGAGAGAAUUCAUAUCAAGAUUAACGACAUUAUUUGAUUCGAAUGGAAUCCAAACGCAGCAUAAACAUGAAAGGUAAAAAAUUAAUACCAAAAGUCACAUUUAAGCAGCAAUUAAUAGCAUAAAUCAGAUUUUAGUGGCAUGGACCAAAAUAAUUCAGUAAAAAAGAAACAAUCCCAAACAAAUAGAAAGAACUGGAGAAACAAUUCGAAACAAAUCUUCGGAAAGCAACCCCAUCCCUCCCUCACCCUCUCUCUCUCCAAUUCCAACUUCUCCCUACAUCUCUCUGUCUAUAAUAGAUGUGCAGUUUUAUUAAUCUUUGUUGCCGAAGCGUGCAAGAUAGUGAAAAGAUUGUUUAUCUAAGAAAAAAAAGGGCACAUUUUAGAUGGAGACAGAUGGCAUUUAACAAAUUCUUCAUUAGUGGAGUAAAUAAUUUGCAACCACCUAUUUCCUGGUAGCAUUAAAAAAAAAAUUCAAUUUUAAAAAAGAAAUGUACUUUUUAGUUCAAUUUCCACAGCCAUAGUAAUUUAUGUGGACUAAAAUUAAGAUUAACUAAUACAUCCAAUCAACUGCAACUAAACAACUUAUAGUAAUUGAAUCUGUGUUUGUGGAUGUGAGAGAGAGAGAGAGAGAGUUAUCUAUUAUAAAGCCAACCUUCUUUGAAUUGGUCCUCUUAUGGCUUAUUACCAAAACUCUCCAUUGCAUUUGCAGUAAUGCCCUCUGCUUCUCCUCCUGCGAAUUAUCAUUCUGUAAGUAAAAGGUACAAAAACAUCAAUUACUUAAUGGUAGAUAUGUACUUUAGACUUUUGAAGAUCCAAUUCAUCCUGCAUCUUCUCACACUCAUCUUCAUGCUGAAGCUGCAAACCUGUCAGCUCAGCUUCAAGUUCGCUCCUCAUUGAAGUUAUUUUCUAUGAAAAUGAUAAACUGGUUUGUAACGUAAGCAUAUAACACUCUAGUUAAAUUAGUAGUUCCAACUUAAUUCAAAGCUAAAAACGACAUUAAUGACCACAAUUUAAGAAUCCAGAAACAGCCCAAACUAACAACACACACAGAGGACAGACACUGAAAGACAUAUUUUUUUAGAGAACCUAACUAAAAAUUAAAAACAAACCAAGUAAAAUUUUCAGAGUUUAAAAACAGGAAACCAUUACAAUCUUUACAGAAACCAACUAAAAUUGGAAUCUGAAAAAAAAUCCGCUCAAUUUUAACAGCCCUGCUGCAUAUAUUGGGUUUUUUUAGGCAUGAGACAACACAAACGAAGAAAACAUAACAUAGUUGUAAACCUUAGGCUCCAAUCAGGUCAAGUGUGAGAUUUCAAACACGGAGAUUUACUCCAUGUUUAAAAACUGCCAAAUACAUUGCCAACUGUUAAGAGUAUGAACUACAAAUCUAUAAAGUAAAAAGACUUGCAGAUAAGUUUAAACAAUCAACAUUCAACUUAUGAUUGUUACUGUUUUUUAGCUGGAUGUUCACAUUCUAAUAAGGUAUUAAAAGAGAUUAUAAGCGUGUGUGCUCUUAAACCACCCAACACCAUGUAUUAAUCAAAUAAUUAACAUCUAAAGAUGGAGACAUGAAACACGAAACCUGCAAUUAGAUCCCAAUCACAAAAUGCCAAAAAAAUCCUAAUCUAACCAUCCCUAUACUAAUAGCCCAUUCGAGCAGCUAUUAGCACCUAACCCGCUACUUUGGCAACCCACCAACCCGCCACACCGUCAUGUCCCAUCCCCUCUCCACCACUCACUAUAUCUCUCACCUUUCUUUCUUGACAUUUCGCUCGGUGCACACAAACACCAAGCCAACCAUUGCCGGCCUUUGUCUAAAAGUGGACAAAAUCCCAUAGGUCCUGGCAGAGGACCUAGCUAAAUCUCUCUCCCACUCAGUCGAAACCCGUAGCUACCAUUUCUCUCCAAUCUGUCAGUCUCUCUGUCCCCCUCUUCUCCUCCCCCCAACAACCCUCUGACCGAUGCAUCACCCACAGCCACACCCACCCGCACCCGAGUCAAAAAUCCCAACGAUCCUCUCCCUCCAACCCGUCAACAAAUUAUGGAUUCCGAGAAUGUAUCUUGAAAACUCAGAUGCACAUGAUUAAAAUUAGUAGAUAUUAAGGACGUGUACUUAACAGAACAACACGAAGAACGAAUGAGUACAUUACAAACUAAAUGACCGUGUCAGCUAGAUACUUCUUAAAGAACACCUCUAAUCUACCAGUAUGAUUACUCAGUUUUUGGUUUUUAAAUUAAUACCCUAAACCUUACAUUCAAACUCAUUUCGAAUGCAAACAAAAGUAAAUGAUAAGUCCCGAGCUUUUCUUUCUAGCCUCAACUCAACUCAAGUUCCCAACCUUCACCUUCCAAUACAAAGAAACUAACGCAUCAAUCUGCAAUUUCGCAAACAUAUAAUUCAACUAACCAAGUUCUGUGUCCACUCAAAUGCACAUAUUUGAGCUCAAUCAAACUUAAAUUUGAAACAAAUAGUGAUGAAAGAUCAAACAUUUAUACCUAGCUUAGGAUCCGAACCAAUCUCCUCUUUCGCCUCCCUCGUCGCCGUGUCCCCAUCGUCCUUGUCCCCCUCCUCUGUUUUCCCACCCGGCAAAGAAACUUCACCUGCAGAAACACAAAACCAAAAAUUAAAAAACCAAUCUUUCCCAUUUCCAUUUUUAUCAAUUUCCUCAAUUUUUCCCAUUUCCAGAAAAAUGAGCAAGAAGCUUAAGCAGGAAAAAAAUCAUAAUUUCAACAACCAAAACCCAAUACCCGUUUAAUCAUACACGAACGAAAAAUCUAAACACAGAGUCACAGAUUAACGAACUGAAAACCCAAAAAAAAUAAAGGAAACUGACCUUACUUAAGAACAAUACAUAGAACACAGAGAAACGAAACAAAUAAAGGAACCCCCAAAACCAAAUAAAGGAACCCUCAAAACCUGACCUAACAGUGCAACAAAAUCUGGAAAUAAUUCACAGCAAAAAGGCAGAAAUGAUGACAAUCUAUGCUAACAGUAAAGAAUCGAAUUAAAAAUUGAACUUAGCUUUUGAAAUCCAGCCACUCAUCCGACAUGCAAAAGGGAACGGAUGAUCGAGAGUGAAUCAUGGACUGAGGGACCUUACUCGACCCAUCAUUGGAGCUACGUUUGUAGCUUUUGGGGAGAAAAAAAUUGAAUGUGAAAGCUGCUUUUGAUGUGGCCAUUAAGGUGGUGCUUCAGCAACCGAAGCAAAAGAAGAAGAGGCAGAAAAAUGUGAGUAUUCCAUGAAGAAAAAAAAAAGGUUAAAAAAUCACUAAAAAGAAAAGGCAGAAAAAUGCAGGGUAUUCCAUGAAGAAAAAUUCAACAAUUAAAUAAUAUAGCUGUAAACCUUAGACUCCAAUCAGGUCAAGUGUGAGAUUUCAAACACAGAGAUUUACUUCAUGUUAAAAAACUGCUAAAUACAUUGCUAACUGUUAAGAGCAUGAACUAUCUGUAAAGUAAAAAGCCUUGCAGAUAAGUUUAAACGAUCAACUGUCAACUUAUUAUUGUUGCUGGUUUUGAGGUGGACGUUCGUAUUCUAACAUGGUAUUAAAAGAGAUUAUAAGUGUGUGCGCUCUUAAAUCAGCCAACACCAUGUAUUAAUCAAAUAAUUUAUAUCUAAAGAUUGAGACAUACAACAUGAAACCUGCAAUUAGAUCCCAAUCACAAAAUGCAAUAAAAAAAUUCCUAAUCUAACCAUCCAUAUACUAACAACCUAUUCGAGCAGCUAUUAGCACAAUUUACCUCCCUCUCUAUUCUUCCCCACCCCCUCUUUAACCAAAUAAAAACUCAUUUGUCUCACUAAAUAAAAACCUCAAAUUUGUUUUUUCAAAGCUGCAACAACAUCACUAAAAACACCAUGUAAUAAAAAUUUAAAAAAACCAAUCCAAUUUAAGUCGAGAAGCAAAUGACCAAACCUCCUAUUUUGAGGAAACAUUUUGCAUUCAAACCUAAAAUGCUUGCCUGCAAAGAAGGAUUAAAUAGCAAAGCAGACUUUCGGGGGAAAUAAAAAAAACAGACUAUUUAUAAUACAAUAAAAAUAAAGUAAUUCAUCAUCCCCACCAUCUCUGUGAGCUUUAACAGAACAGAGGAAUCAAAUUAAGCAAUAUAUAAAUUUAAGUUGACAUUCCAGUGUUCUACCUCUAACCUUGGUAGCAUGCAUGCACUGUAAGUUAUAAAGUGAAUUAAGCCAAGAUCUUCUAACUUCAUGAUUUUCACAUAUGCAUUAGAUGGAGAAAUACAAUAAAUAAUCAAAUAUGUAAGACUCUGAUAUUCAAAACCAAACAAACCCAAUUACACUUUUAGUUCACUAACCCCAUUGAAUAAAAUCCAAUUCAAUAAAAUAACAGAAAAUUAAACAACCCAAAAAUCAAAACAACCCCACUUGUAGUUUUAGCUCACUAAUCCGUUGGAUAAAUAGAUGCCAAAUUCAAUCAGAAAACAUACAAUUAACAACAACCCAGAAGAGCCAUCCGAAAACCCAACCAAUUAACCAAAAAAUACCACUUGUUCUUUUAGCUUAGUAACCAACCUCUACUUGUUUUCUGGCAAAUUUGGGGUCCUUUGAUUUCUAGACUUUCAGUAGAAACUGAUUAUACCAUGGGCUAAUAUUCAAGUACCACAAAAUAUAAUUUUACCGUAGUAAGCUUUUUGAUUCACUCCAAACGAAGAUAUUAUAUGUUCACAUAUAUAUAUUCACAACCAUAAAAAGAAGAACUUAUCUCUGGCAUUUUAAUAAAAAUAAAAAUAAAUUAUUCACCCACAGUAAAAACCGAAACAGCUAAAUUAAACCCAAAAAUUAAUCAUGAUCAUACAUAUGUAUUCCUGACAAAUGUUUAGCCCUUUAAUUAAAACACUAAAAUAAAAAAUUGCUCACCCACAGUAAAAAACCGAAACAUGCAAACCAAAGCCCAAAAUUUAAUCAUCACUAUUACUUUUUUUUUUUUUGGUGUUUUUAAGUUUCAGGGAAAAAUGGAAGCACAAACAAUCAAAAAACCCAAACAAAAAGAAAUUAACACCAAAGAGAUAAAUUAUAUACCUGACCCAGAAAAAGCUUGGAAGCUCACAUAAUGAAACCCUAAAACUCGAAGAAGGAUGCUUCCUGCAAACCAAAUACAAAAUCAGACUCUCUCUCUUAGAAAGAGAGAAGUUAUCAAGUCCUGUACUUGGUUAUAUUUGUUCAAGUUAGGAAAAAUCGAGUACAGGGUUGGUACCUGGAGCUUGAGAAAUCAGAGAGCUUGCCUGUUUGAGAAAAGAUGAUAACAACAGCUUCAGAUUCACACAGAAAACGUACAAAAAACGCACAACAUGCUCUCUGCCCUCUCUCUCUCUCCCUCCCUGUCCAUCCGUCCCUCAAAAAGUGGGAAAAAAAAUCUCCAAACGUCUCUCCCACUCAUGAAAUCGAGGAUCUGCAGCAAUGGCGCUGAGGUCGCCACUCCUCCCUCUCCCUUUCUCUGUCGCUCUGUCUCUGUCUCUGUCUCUGUCUCUGUCUCUCUCUAUCGAAGGCAUGGCCUUUCAUCCCCGAAACCCUCACUGAAUGACAGCAAACCCAAACCCACCCCAAUCCGUCUCAAACACACAGGACAAAAUUGCCCUUCCAACCCAGCCCCAAUACCAGCCCAAACCUUACGGUUUUGUUGUAAAUAGCGUGAAAUCGAGUGGCUCCCUGAUAAGCCAUAUGGACAAAAUUACCCUCUGAAAUUUUGAGAAUCACCCUCCCAACCCACUCCCAUUCGGCUGGUACUGUUGUAAAUAAAGCAAAAUAAAAACAAACGUGAAUAGUGCCUGCCCUCCCCCUACUUUAGUAUAGAUAAUUUUGCACAUUGCAUAUAUGUAGAUUAAGGACGGUGGUAACAUACCUUGUAAUUUGUACAAAUUAGGAUUUUCAUUCAAAGAACUAUAAUAUACACAAUUACAAAAAAAGUGAUUCAAACUUGUUCUUCUCUUAAGGAAAUUACUCACAGUUGAAAUUCUGAAUGGAUGAAGUUUUGGCUUCCCUUUCCGACUAUAUUUGAUUAACCUUUUUUUAAUCCAAUGAGUGCCUUCAUGAGAGAGAGAGAGAGAGGAAUAUUAGGUGAAAAGUAUUGCCAAAUCACACAGAGAUCAAAAUCUUGAAUAUAUAUGUUUAACCAUGUCAAAGUGAGUGUGUAAAGGGUGUAGUCUGCAGAAAGGGCAACAUUUUCACUGCUAGAAAGUUGGAAACUAAACUUUUACACAGAUAUUGGAUUUUAUUAAUUCCCUUCGCGAAUUGAAAAGCAAAUUGUUCGAGUAAUGCAGGUAAAUUCGAUAUACAUAUGCGUUGAUCUAUGUGACGGUUAUAAGUUAUAACUGUAUUGUCUUAACGCAAAAAUGAUCAUAAAUGUAAGUGUCUGUAUUAUGGAAGUAAGGGACUUACAGCAAUUGCUAUGAGCUUUAACAGCAGUCACUCCAAGUACCUUAUUACGGAAGUAAGGGACUUACAUCAAUUGCUAUGAGCUCUACCAGCAGUCUCUCAAAGUGGUGCAAGGGCUAAAAUUAUAAAUAAAAAGUAAUUUAAACAAUUUAACUUAAUAAAAUAUUGUAAUUUAAACAAUGCCUAUAUAUUCAAACAUCCCAAAACAGGAAUGAACUUCUAGAAAACAUGCGCAUGAAAAUAAACGGCAUUACUCACCCAUUGAGUUGGACCAUCAAACUGGAGCGUAAGAAGGAUCAUCAUGUACCUAUGAAACCCAAAGGAAAAUUUUAGCAACCCCAAAGCUUGUAUGCAAGCGUGAAUAAGUAUGCGUGUAUGAAUCUAUUCAUAGUGAAGAAGGCUACCUUAAGAAAUAUUUGCAUCUGCAGCUUCAUAUGGCCAUACAACAAAAAGCAUCGCAUAUGAUAACAAACCCCAGCUGCACCACAAAAGGAAUAUGAUCUUCCUCUCGACUUGUAUUUGCAGUUGUUACUGUAACAUCUGCAGACAGCAUACAUAAGCACUGAUUCGAUAAUUCUAAAGGAAAAAAAGUUCUUAUUCGAUAAUGCACCAAAUCCUAUCCAAAAACCAAGGGGGUGCCAUAUCCCUAGAUUAACAGAGCAUCUUUCUUUGUUCCAAAACAAAUUGCAAUUGGCUUUGGUAAAGUAGAAAGAUUACCAGAUACCGACUCUGUUCCAUUAUUCGACUGUCCUUUUAGUUCUAUCUCUCAACAUGGGAAAUACAAUAAGACAGUAAAGACAAAAGUUAGUGAUGCUAUUACAUAGUGAAAGAAAAUAAGACAUUCACAUAUUGAUAGCUAUUUACUGUCCUUUCUCAUCAUAAUCUUGGCCCCAAUAUAUAUACUGAAUUUUGAAUGCAAUGAGAGAAAUAUACCUUUGGGGCGUCAAUGCCAGAAGAGUGAGUGAGGGAUCUAAGAUGUUUGAGAGCAGGAAUUUUUAAGUAAUUUGUGUGAAAAAGUUGAAGAGCUUCGAACAGAGUGGAGUGGGUUGGCCUGGGCUAAAAUAAAGAGGAUGAACUCUAGAAAGUAGAAAAUGUUGUUAUUCAACCAAACUCAAAAGUAAAGAAACCAUACAAUUAACAUAUAAAUAAGUUUUAUAUACCAAUGUUUACAUGUACGUUGUUUGAGAAGGUAAAUUAGCAACAUAUACAGUGAUCAAAAGAUUAACAGCAAUAAACUGCUCAUUAUUCGAAAUAUACAUGAAAGUUGUCAUUCACAUGAUCCAAAUGGUAGAGGACAAAACAGAAGGAAGCAAAUAUUAUAGCAGCAUAAGUUGAAUAAUUGCAGCAAGUAAACAAAUAGAAAGGCUAGCUAGAUUACACAAUCCAGUUCUAGGUCGGACUAACCAUGUUAGCCAUCCGCCCACCACCAGCACCGUCGGCUUCUUAUUAAAAAUGUAGAAUAGAAGACUCAAAAACUGGAAAUGAAAGCAGGUAACAUUGAGUUUUAAUAACCAAAAAGGGACAUUGUUUAAGCAGCUCCAUAGCAGCAAUUAUACUUGGACGAUGAGCUGCAAAAACAGAAAAGAAAACACAAAUUAAACUAAAAAAAAUAUAAAAUUUAGCACUAAUCCAGGAUUAAAUAUAAAAUAUAAAGUCAUUAGGAUUGGGACCUUUGCAUUGAGGAAUAUCUACUACAUUAUGAGUUCCCUCCUGACAGUGGCGGAUCCAGGAUUUUAAACUCGGGGGGUCUCAAUAAUAAAGGUCAAAAAAUUUAUACACAAAAACAACAUUGAAAAUUUAAAUAUAAUACAUUUCAUUCAAAAAUCAUAUGCAAAACAAUAUUACAAAUUAUAAAAUCAUAAUUCAAGCGUCCAUUACAAGGUUUCAUAAGUUACUACCUAAGUUAUUGAUUAUCUAAUAUGGACCACUAAAUUUAAAACACCAGUCAAAUAAAACUCUUCCCAAACUCCCACUAUCUUUCUAACCAAACACACCAUUUUUCUCUUUUACUAGUUUCCAAACAUCCACUUUCUCUCUCACUAAGAACACAGCUGCCAUACCUCCACCAACCACCUCCCUCCCCAUUCUCCCGAAGCCAUGGCAGCUCCACCCCCAAAUUUCACCAACCCAUGACAGAUCAUAUCCAUCUUACUAACCUUAUGCAGGAAAUUUCACCCAUAACAAAAAUUACUAAGGUGGUUGAAAUAAUUUGGGGAAAUUUGGGCUUAUGUACUGCCCCGCCAGACGACAGAUGGAGGAGAAGUGGGUGGCACCGAUGGAUGAGACCAUGGCAGAAGCAAGGAGAGAGGCUGGAAGGGUCCCUAUUUUCUUUCUUCUCCGUGCGCGGUCAUCUUCUCCGAGAAGAAGACAGCCACUGCAACCUACAACCUGCACAGACCUCAUGCUCGAGUACGAGGGGUCCCCGGAAAAUUUCUAGCAGCGAUUUAGGAUCGCCGACGGGUCCUGGGACCUCCCAGGUCCCUAUGUAUGCAGGAAAACCUAAGGUUCCUCCUUAGGUUUUUCGAUGUACCAAACCCGAAUCCGCCGUCCUUUUUCCAAAAUUCUAACGUUUUCAUAGAGUUUUAUUAAACGACCUUUAAUUGUGUUUAGGUGCAUCGGUGGAAGUGACCUCAUUCUUGAUGGUUCGAGCGGCUUUCGGGCAAUGGAAAACUUGUGAGUGGACCCCUUCUAAACUUAUAUAUUGUUAUAAAAUAUUAGCCUAGCAUGCAUUCCAUAUUUCAUGAUUUGAAUAUGAUUUAUAAUAUGCUUUAUGGACUUUUAUAAUUAUGGUUUACGAAAUAGUUUGAUUUAUCGAAAUUACGUUUUAUUAGGUAUUGAAUUAUUGGAUUUACAUAUAUGGAUUUCUAUGGUUUUCAAAUACGAUUUAUAUUACGGUUUUACGAACAUGAAUUGUUUUAUGGAUUUCAUGAAUACAAUUUAUCUUGGAUUUAUGAGAUGAGACUUUGAGCUAGUGAGCUCCGGGUUUGAUAUGAGUUUUGAGAUAUGUUUUUGGUACUUAAUCUAGUGGGUUAUCAUACGGCACAUCCGCACACCACGGGUAUAGAUGUGUAUGGCCAUAGGACACAGAUGAUGAGGAGGAGUAAGAUAUGAUAUAUUGUAUACCCCCAGUUCACUGUCGAAAGCAGUGUCAGAUAACUUCACUAGCCAUGGCUAGUGUCGGUAUGGAUGUUAUGCUAUUUCAUACAGCUUCACCUUCGGGUGAUAGACAGUUAUUUAGCUUCACCUUCGGGGUGAUGGACAUGUACUACCUUCGGCCAACUAUAAUAGCCUUAGUUGAGUACUUCACUGACAAGAUUUACAAAUUUGCCUUUGGGCGACGACAUUUUCAUUAUCAAGCACUGGAUUUUACAUAUCUACCUUCUAAAUGGAUUUUCAUGGCAUGCUAGGGUUUUUCAUAAAGCCUAUAUGUAGUAUUAUAUAUGUUUUCAAAAUAAGGGGUUAUUAUGUUCAUAAAUAAAAUGUUUUCCUAUUAUUAGUAUUAUUAAUAUAAACUUUGGUCCACUCACCUUUUCAGUUUUUGCGCCUCCUCAGGAGUUAGGAUCGAGGCACAUGAUCCCGGCAUCAUGGCAUGUUGAUAUAGGUAUCCUUGAAUCUUCUUAGUGUAGGUAUCAUUCCCUUAUUCAUAUCUUUUUAUAGUGAUUCUUUCCUAUUAUUUCUAAUUAGUUGUAUGCUCUGAACAAAUUCCUGCUUUGGUAUAAUCGUUAUAACUACUUAUCUUGUAAUUGUUUGCAUGUUUAAAAUGGUUUCGUCACCUUUGGGCGUGGGCUAGCACGUGCCUACCCUGGUAUGUUGGGGUAUCGGGGUUGGGGCGUGUCAAAGAUAGAGAGUGAAUUUCUAGCAGAUUCAAUGGUUGUCUACAUUUUAAAAAGAGCUUGCCGAAAAGAUUGAUUCAGAUGAAAUAACAAAGGAUUUCAAUUCCAUUAAGGAUUGAAGGGCACAACUUGAAUAGGUAUUUUUCUUUUUAUUUGUUAGGUUGUUAUGACAAGAUUGACGAUGUAUGUUUCUUUAUAUUGUAAGUUGCAACUUUAAAGGUUUUCUUCGUUAAAUCUAGUUGAAACUUGAUUCAUUUAGAGUUAAAUUUCUUACUUCAAAUUGUUGCUUUUAGGCUUAUUAUUGUGUAACUUUAUGCAAGCAACAAAAAAUUUUAACCAUUUGAUUUUGUACUAAUAAUUUUAGCUUAGCAUGCCACCAAAUAAUUCAUGUCUCCGCUAUUGAAAUCUUAGCAUGUGCAAUUUCAAAGUCUCGGUUGCCAAGUCUCCCCAGGCUGUUCAGCACCCAUUCUGAAUCUUGAUCGAGAUCUAGAGCAGUGCAAGUCAAGGAGUCUUCAUUCUCAUUUGAAACAAUGCUAAAAUUAUACCUCAGCUUGGACUCCUUGGGCAAAAUAUACCCAAAUGUAUUAAUAAUUUAAUACUACUUGUGGAUGCACCACUAGUCCAAAAAAAUCACCUCUCCUUUCUUAAUCUUCAAUUGGUGAGGGUCCCAAUCAAGCGUGAAAGGCCCCGGCGCACGGUUGGCUUUAGUUUCCCAUGAUGAAAUCGACGAAACGUGGCCAUUUGUACGGUUGACACCCAAUUUCAUGCCCGGCAAAAAGGUGUCAACUGGUAAUCAAAGCUUUACGUUCACUUCUUCUUGUACAAAAUUUCCCGAAUCCAAAAGGAUAGCCACAACAGUAGCAAUACUGUUACUUAUGUUGGUAGACCUAGUAGUUUGUGGAGCUGAGAAAAACACAAUUGGAUUAGGAUCCCUCCCGCAUAAUUUUCAAGGUUUUAUUCCUGUCCAAGGCAAGAGUGCGUACAAAAUAGGGGCUUUACGGUUGCAAAUCCAAGCAAUGUUGCCAUCGGCCUUGUUGCUCUGGAUAGAUACGUAGCUGGUGCUUUUGGAACUGUCGUCGUGUACACAGGAACUGAAACUGAACUUCUCCGAUGCAGAGACCAAAGAACUUGAGGAGUUGAGAGUGUCUCCUGCUGGUUUCAGUGUGUCCUUGCACUUGCAGCAUUGUGACAGGUCCACAGUCAGCAUGCAAAAAUGAUUAAGUUGAUUAUUGCCAUGAUUAAUUAAUGACCAUAACAUGAAGUUUAAUUUCUCCAUAUGAUGAGGAAGAAAGACAUGAAAUCCAUCACCAGAACAUGAUUAAGAAUUUAAUCAAGCAACGCGUCUUAGUUAAACCAUUACAAUCAUUGUACAAGGCAUUUAUAAAUUAAAAAAAAGGGAAUAAAGUAAUAAUUGUUAGAAUAAGAAGAAAAUGUAGUACAACAAUGGAGGAUAUGCUGCAAUGACUAGAGUGAGAGAGAGAGAAAGAAGAGAGCAGAGAAUAUGACACUGCAAUUCUUUUCACACGCAUUGUUUGAUUGCUCACUUAGUGAGAGAGGAACAUCUCUCUACACUUAACAGUUACACUUCCAAACUUUUGGCAGUAUUCAAAAUUACAUCCAAGUAAUCCUAGCCAUCCAUCUUACACCCUAUGAGAUGAAGACACAUGUACACUCACUUACUUAAGAACUAUGAGACUUAGAUAAGAAAGCAUACAACCAAUUUAGCUAAUCAUCCUAGCAAUAUAAGCUAGAAAUACAACUACCACAUCAGAUCACAAUUUACACACUAACAGCCCCCUUUAAAUUGUGAACUGAUUUAACUCCAAGAAGUUCCCUCAGAUAACUGAAUUGUUCUCUUGCCAAUGCCUUUGUAAAGAUAUCAGCAAUUUGGUCUUUCGUAGGACAAUGCAACAGCUCAAUUACUCCUUGCUGCAAUGCUUCCUUUAUGAAAUGGUAUCUCCUGUUGAUGUGCUUGGUCUUCUGAUGAAAAAUAGGAUUUUUAAUGAUAGCUAUGGCUGAAGUAUUAUCACAAUUCAUUGGUGUUGCAACUAUUUGCAUUUCACCAAAGUCCUCCAAAACAAAUCUCAGCCAUGUAGCCUGUGCAGUUGCUUCAGAUGCACUAAUGUACUCUACUUCAGCUGUUGAUAAUGCAACACAUUGUUGCUUGACUGAAGACCAAGAGAAAACUCCACUGCCAAAGGUAAAUGCAUACCCCGAUGUACUUUUCAUAUCAUCUUCUGAACCGCUCCAGUCACUGUCACAAAAUCCCAUUAAGAUUGCUCCUUUGCCUUUCUUGUAUUCCAAGCCAAAAUCAAGAGUCCCUUGAACAUAUCUUAGUACUCUCUUUGCUGUCCCAAGGUGCUUGUUGGUUGGACAGUGCAUAAACCGUGAUAGCAGACAUGCAACAUACAUUAUAUCAGGUCUAGUUGCUGUGAGAUACAGCAAACUGCCUACAAUUUGUCUAUAUUGAGCUUCAUCCGUAGUCCCACUUCCAUCCUCUUUUCUCAAUUUAUCACUUGGAACCAAUGGAGUACUCACUGACUUACAGUCUUGAAGUCCAAAUUUCUUCAGUAGAGAAGAAGCAUAUUUUCUCUGAUGAAUGAAAAUAUACUCCUCAGUUUGCAUUACUCCCAUACCAAGAAAGUGAUGUAAGAGUCCAAGAUCAGUCAUUUCAUAUUUGAGCAUCAUAUUAGAUUUAAAGUCAUCCAUCAAUUCCUGACAACUUCCAGUGUAUAUUAUGUCAUCAACAUAGAUAGACACUAUAAUCAUUUCUGAACUUUUCCUCCACUUGGUAUACAGAGUUGCUUCGCUAGUGCUUUUCUUAAACCCACAGAGUGUAAGAUAUGAGUCUAUUUCACCAUACCAGGCCCUUGGUGCCUGCUUCAGACCAUACAGUGCUUUAUGUAACCUGUAGACCUUAUCUUCUUCCCCUUGUACAAUAAAUCCAUCCGGCUGAUCAACAUACACUUCUUCUUCUAGUACACCAUUCAAGAAUGCCGAUUUUACAUCCAAUUGAAACAACUUCCAUUUGUUCUUUGCUGCCAGGGCAAUUAAUGUUCUGAUUGUAUCCAACCUUGCCACAGGUGCAAAGGUUUCAUUAUAAUCAAUUCCGGGCUUUUGUGCAUAGCCUUUUGCAACAAGCCUAGCCUUGUUCUUUUGAACUGAUCCAUCCAAAUUCAAUUUAGUUUUGUACACCCAUUUCACACCAAUCACAGGUUUAUCAGAUGGUCUUUUCACUAAUUCCCAAGUCUUAUUUUUCUCAAUCAUGCUGAUUUCAUCUUUCAUAGCUUUCUUCCAUGCUUUAUCCUGUGCAGCUUCAUAAUAGGAUUCUGGUUCAACAAUACACAUGACAUCUUUCAUAGAUUUCACUCAAACUUCUAUAUCUCAAAGGAGUAUGAUCAAUCUGAGAUGCAAAAAUUGAGUCACUAGCACUUCCAGAUUCAAUGAGUGGAGAAUCUGUAAGUUGAGUCUGAGAACCUUCAGCAACAGCUUGUUCCAUGGAAUCCGAAUCCUCAUCAGCUUCUUUCAUCUCUGAAGAUUCACUUGCAGCAAUUGGAAUGUACACUUCUUUGAUCUUCUAUCUAUCCCAAUCCUAUGUACCAUUCUCAUAAAAAAUAACAUCUCUUGAAAUGAUUACUUUCUGAUUUUCAGGAUUAAGCAAUCUGUACCCCUUUUCACAAGUGCCAUAUCCAAUAAAAAUACCAAUGACACUUGUUUCAUCCAGCUUCUGUCUCAGGUUUCCAGGAAUAAGGGAAUAACCUAAUGAGCCAAACACUCUCAAGUGUUGAAUUCCAGGUUUUCUUCCACUGAAUUUCUCAAAAGGUGUCACAUUUUCCAAUACUUUUGUAGGACAUCUAUUUAGCAAGUAGACAGAUGUAACUACAGCUUCACCCCAAAGACUAUAAGGAAGACCUUUCUCAUGAAGCAUACACUUUGCCAUCUCCACUAUAGUUCUAUUUUUUCUCUCUGCAACUCCAUUCUGUUGUGGAGAGUAUGCAACAGUAAGCUGCCACUCCAAACCCAAAGCUUCACAAAACUGUUCAAAUUCAUUUGAGGUAAAUUCUUCUCCUCUAUCUGUUCUCAAUUUCUUCACUGAAAAACCACUUUGAAGUUCCACCAUAGCUUUGAAUUUCUUGAAUACAUGAAAGACAUCUGACUUGUGUCUCAAGAGAUAUAUCCAGCACAUCCUCGAAUAGUCAUCAAUGAAUGUAACAAAGUAUCGAUUUCCACUUAUGGUUGGUGUUUGCAUAGGGCCACACACAUCUGAGUGUAUAAGUUCCAAUGGCAUUCUUGCUCUCCAGAUUGACUCCCUUGGAAAGGACACUCUAUGAUUCUUACCAAAUGCACAUCCCUGACAUACACCUUCACUGUCAUGCAUUUCAGGUAACCCAAGAACCAUAUCAUGCUCCUGCAAUUGUUGCAAACUUCUAAAAUUCAGGUGGCCAAACCGUUUAUGCCACAUUGUACUAUUCUGAUGCACAUUGGUUUUCAGUACCAAAUGAUCGUUUGACUUGAACACAAGUGGAAAGCAUCUGUUCCCCUUUUGUUUCACACUAACCACUAAAUUUGUCAGAGUUCUAUCAUAAAAAAUAUCCACCUUAUAAUCACCAAAUAACAGAAAAUACCCAUGUUCAGUCAUCUGCCCAACACUGAGAAGGUUUUCUGCAAUUCCAGGUACUAACAUAACUUCUCUUAUGUACCUUUUUCCUUUAUCCGUGUCAAUGACCAAGGUUCCUUUGCCUUUCACAUCAACAAGAACCCCUGUGCCAACUUGCACUUUUGCUUUAAUACUUCUAUCAAUUUCCACAAGUAACUCCUCUCUGGAAGUCAUGUGAUUACUGCACGCACUGUCAAUAUACCAGGCAUCACUCACAGCUUUCACUUCAGUUGAUUGCUUGACCAUGAAGAGAUUUCCAGGUUCCAGGUUCUCCCACCUUGUUUCUAAAAUUUCUUUGCUCUCCCACUUUGUCUGCAAAAUUCCCUUGCUGAGCAUUUUUGUUUUGAUUGCAGAUCCUAGCAAUAUGACCAGGUUUUCCACACUUGUGACAUUUAAUCUUCCCUUUUAGCCAACAUUCACCAUAGUGAAGUUUAUCACAGUAUUUGCAUGCCCCUCCAGUGUUGUUAGCUUCAUUUCUUACACUUGGAGUAAACCUGUUAGUCCACUGCUUCCCUUUGAACUUGAAGUUCUUCUGAUAUUUUGAUCCACCAGUAUUGGUAUGUUGAUUACCAAAUUUACUAUUCUUAGAUGAGAUAUAUAUCUAAGCUAGCAAAUGCACGUUCUGUGCUACUCUCUUCAUGUCUGAUUAAUCUUAGUUCAAACCCUUUCAAUAUGGCAACCACAUCUUGUGCAUCAAUUACAUCAAUAUCUUUAGUAUUUUCUAUAACAGAAGCAAUGCUAUCAUAUGUUUUGGGUAAACUGAUCAAUAACUUUUGCACAAUUCUCUGAUUACUAAGAUCUUCUCCAUAGCUUCGCAUCUGAUUUAUCAGAUCAAACAACCUAGCUAAAUAUGCAGCUAGAGAUUCACUUUCACUCAUACGGGUAUAUUCAAAAUCACGACGCAGACCUUGUAAUUUCACAGAUCGUACCUGUUUGUCCCUACACAUACUCUUGCUUCAGAAUAUCCCAAGCUUCUUUUGCAGUUUCCAAGGUUGCAAUGCGUGGAAAAAUUUGAUCCGAUACGGCUCCCUGAAUGAUUCCAAGAGCCCUUGCAUCCUUGACCAGAUUUUCACUCCGCAACUUCGUUUCCACCUCAGUGAGUUCUCCUUCCCCUUUCGCUGAAGUGGUAAAACCUUUUUCAACAAUAUUCCAUAACUCGUGAGAUCGGAAGAUUGUUUUCAUUCGAAUCUACCAGAAAUCGAAAUUUUCUCCGUUGAACACCGGAGCUCGAAGCUCCCCUCCACCAGAUCCAGCCAUGUUAGACUUAGAUCACACCUCUCUCUACUAUUUUCUUUGCAACGAUGUGUUGCAAACACUUGCUCACUAUCUCUCACAGAAUCGACGCCCAGAGAUUCAGACCCAACAAGGCUCUGAGGCCAUGUUAGAAUAAGAAGAAAAUGUAGUACAACAAUGGAGGAUAUGCUGCAAUGACUAGAGUGAGAGAGAGAGAAAGAAGAGAGCAGAGAAUAUGACACUGCAAUUCUUUUCACACGCACUGUUUGAUUGCUCACUUAGUGAAAGAGGAACAUCUCUCUACACUUAACAGUUACACUUCCAAACUUUUGGCAGUAUUCAAAAUUACAUCCAAGUAAUCCUAGCCAUCCAUCUUACACCCUAUGAGAUGAAGACACAUGUACACUCACUUACUUAAGAACUAAGAGACUUAGAUAAGAAAGCAUACAACCAAUUUAGCUAAUCAUCCUAGCAAUAUAAGCUAGAAAUACAACUACCACAUCAGAUCACAAUUUACACACUAACAAUAAUUACAAGUUUUACACAAGUGACCAUUUAUUACAAUGGUGGAAAGGUGUUAAAAGCUUUUGCAUGACGGUGUGAGUUCGAACCUCGUCGGUUGUUAAUCUACAAACCCCGUCGGUAGUUAAUCUAACUUCUAAUCUAAUAAAAUCUAUUUUUUGACCAAAAAAAAAUAAUUACAAGUUUUACUAAAAAUUUAGGGGUGUGAUAUCUACACACCCCUUUUUACUUCUCUCACAUCUUUUUGAUUUUCGACCGUCGGAUCGGAUGAAUUGAAGAAGAUCAACGGACAGAAAUUAAUAAGGAUGUGUGAGAAGUAAAAAAAGGUGUGUAGAUAGCACACCUCAAAAUUUACCGGAAGACUUGAUCACCCAUUUGUAUGCUGACAACGGUGACUAGAUUCACAACCUCUUUCCCACGUAAAUCACAUCAUCCAAUUUUAUUUUUCUUACAACAUAUCACGUAUCUGUCAUAUGUAAGACUUUUUUGGAAUAUGGAGCGUGAAAUUGCAGCGGAAGCAUCCUAGAUUUUUGAUCGAAUAUUGAGUUUGGUUUCAUGACAGACUUCCUGGAUCAAACACACCCUAAAAAAAUAUAUAAAAAACCAAUAAGGUCAUGGUGAUACGACAUCAUUUUAAGAGGAAAGGUAAAAACAAUCUAGUUUCUAUACUAGGAAGAUUCACUCGAACAAAUUCUUGGAAACUAUGACUCAAACAAAAUUCUAGGAAUUCAGUAUUUUUAACAAAUGAUAAACGUUUAAGAUAUAUUCUUUAUAAUAUUAGAGAAAUCGAACGGUUGAUCUAUAACUCGCAAAGUGGUUGUAGCUCAAGUAAUUUUACUCCCCAAUUUUACAUAAAACAUAAAAUAAAAACAAAUCCUAAUUUACAUGGUAAUUUUUUUUCAUAGCUAGGGACAACUUCGACUAUGGUAAUGCAAUUAAUAUACACUAGUUUUGGAUGGAGAAGUUUCAAGAUUGAGCAUGGGAUGGGGAGGGGCGAGAGACUUGGAUGGAGAGUGAGGUUUUAUGAGUUAAACAGUGAUGCAAGGAUGUAUUACUUAAAACUUUAGAGACCGUAUGUUGGGCUAUAUAUAAUUGUUUAACUCAUAAACGUUUUGAGUGUUUCUAACAUAUGCUUAUCAAAAGCCUUCUCGUUCUAUCAAACAAUACGAAAAUUUUCAAUUGAAUGCAAGACAUACUAUUUUAUAUAUCACAGUACUUCAUGGAUCAUCAUCAUCACAUAUCCUUAAUUCAAAGGUAAUAAAUGAGCAUCUAGUUUUAUUUUUAUUUUAUUUUAUAUAGGGACUACAGAAGCAAGCACCCUUUGUAAAUUAAACUCUAAAACUUCUCAAGUAUCUUGAAAGGUGCCAAAAGCCAUCAGCCAACUCCAGUUGAUGCAUAACCUCCUACAUUUACAAAAACAGCGUCGCCGUUAAUUUAUUGACUUCUUCCCAGGACACAUACCAAUUUGCGAAAGUGGUUUGACUGAUGCUAAUUAGUCGAGUAAAGUACAGUCUUUUCAAUUAAGCAGAUGCAAAACACUUAGUUGAGGCACUACAAAUAUGAUUUUUACCUUUAAUUAACGCGCUUCAAAAUCUGAACUGGACAUGUAGUUUGCUGAAGCAACAGUUUCAAGUUGCUGAUUCCCACUUAUACCAGCCUCCACCGUCCUCCUUCCAACAAAAAAUGCUGGCUUUGUUGGUGAUGCUAAUCGAAAGCUUUCAUUUGUCAACAUAGAUAUGACAUCUGACAUGGUAGGGCGAUCUGCUGCAUUUUCUUCUACGCAAAGCAGACCGACAUGGAUGCAUCUUAACAGUUGCUCUUUAAUAAACGAAUUUCCUAAUGUUGGAUCCGUUAAUUCUAGCCCUGCACCUUUUUUCCAUAACUCCCAUGCCUGAAGAACAAGGAUUGCAUUUCAUUCUAAAGAAGAAAAAAUAUGAUUAUAAAUUUUAAGAGAGAGAUUUGUUUGUCAUACAUAUCCUACUAAAUUGAGUGCGCGAUCGUCAUUGUAAAAGCUGUUGUUUUUCCUUCCACUUAUGAUUUCAAGCAUCAAUACCCCGAAACUGUAGACAUCAGACUUUACAGAAAUAAUUCCCCCCACGGACUCUGGAGGCAUGUAACCACUGCACGAAAUGAAAAAGAAAAUUAGUCAGUAUACUUAUCUGGAAAAAUGCGUGUUUAGCAGUCAAAAGGGGAGGACCACGUCAAUGUGAUGCAGAAAUACUUACAGUGUCCCCACAACCUUUCUAGUGUUUGCUUCCAAUUCAUUUUGGGUGAAAAUCCUUGCCAUACCAAAAUCUGAAAUUUUUGGGUUCAUGUUUUCAUCAAGUAGUAUGUUACUAGCUUUUACAUCUCUAUGAAUUACUUUCUUUCUUGAGUAUUUGUGCAGAUAAAGCAACCCUUGAGCAAUUCCUUCGAGAAUGCUAAAACGCUUCUUCCAAUCUAGUAGUAGACCUCUGAUUGGAUCUGUCCAAUAUGUAGAGUUAAGUAGGACUAAUAUUAAUUAAUAGUAGUACUCUAUGAACUUUGACAGUAAAAUAAAAAUCAGAUAGUAAAUUUAACAAAUGAAAUCAAGUAUCUUGGUUCCUCACCAAAUAAAAAGUGGUCCAAACUUUUGUUCUGCAGAUACUCAUAUAUCAACAUCAUUUCUUCACCAUGAAUGCAAAAUCCGAAAAGGUGAACCAGGUUUGUAUGUUGGAGUUCAUAUAUAAGUAUCAGUUCAUUCUUGAAUUCUGAUGUUCCUUGCCCUGAACAUUUCGAAAGCCUCUUCACAGCUAUUUCUUGUCCCGCCGCCAAUUUCCCCUGAAUUGAUAAUCCAUAUCAUGUUUUUGCUGUCAUCUUUAGGCAAAUGAAGCUAAUUCCUUUUUUUUUUCUUACAGCUUUUGAAUUAGAACUUGGGAGCAGCCUCUCCAUAAAUGGGGGUAAGGCUAGCCGACAUUCACCUCUCCCAGACCCUGCGUAAAGCGGGAGCCUUGUGCACUGGGUACGACAGCUUUUGAAUUAGAAGCAGAAAUUUUUUUUUUUCAAAAUGUUACCUUAAACCGGUCCAAACCCUCCUUGUCCUAGCUUGUUUUCUUCAGCAAAGUUGCUUGUGGCAGCCACGAUGGAUGAAUAGCUAAAAACGCUAAAAUCAUGAUGUCGCUUAGAUUUCAUGAAGAUAAUCAUUUCGUUCUCAAUCGUUGUCCGGUUCUCACCUAUACAGAUCAAUUAUAAGAAAUUAAAGUUUCAAUGGAGACAACAAUUGUCAAAGAUGUGAUUAAUAAUCCUGUCUUAUGUUGGAUUAUGUGGCCAAGUGGCCAUAUACUUUAGAUUAAACAAACCAAAGGUGGACAACACCUUUCCUUGUUUUGGGGAGGAAAAUAGGGAAAAGGUUUUUUGUCUUGGUCCAUGGGAAGUCACGGUUGAGGUUUUGAAUAAUAAGUUUUGGUUGUAAUGAGAAGUAAGAGUGGGAUAGAAGAGAAGAAAAUAGAGUGCAGAAAAUUGAGAGAGCCGAAGAGAAGAGAGGGAGAGAAAGAAGGUACUGCUACAGUACCAUUUUCAGAGAAGGGGUUGUUGUUCCUUUCAUUGGAUAAUUCUCACUCCAUCAAAGUGUUAUUGUUGUAAUAGCUUUGAGCUUUGUAUAGAGAAGAAAUUAAUCACUAUAUUUCUUUCUCUAUUUGUUUCUUUGGAGUGUGAGUUAUUGGGUUAUUUGGGUUGUGAGAUUGCCAACACUUUGUAAACUCCCAUUUGGUUGAUAGUGGAUUCUUGGGUGAGCUCCUACUGCUCCGAGGACGUACUCUAGUUACACUGACUGUUGAGGAACCUCGUUAAAAUCUUGGUGUCUUUAAUAUUUUGUUCUUGCAUUUUAUUUGAUAUAUUUCCUGUGGGUUAGCUUGAGUUGGUUCCACAAGGGUUUGGUGCUAUCCUAGCACAACAAUUGGUAUCAGAGCACUGGUUGCUCUUGGGUACUGUCUAGUUGCCAAAAAUGUCAGACGGGCAAGAUGAAAAUCCUUUUGGAAGCAGCUCCGGGUUUGCAAGAACGACGGUGCAAAAUGCAAAGUUCGAAGUGGAAAAGUUUGAUGGCACACAAACAACUUCGGGAUGUGGCAAUGUGAGGUCAAAGAUGUGUUGGCUCAACAAGAUCUACUUGCCGCGUUGGGAGAGAAGCCGGAAACUAUGUCGAAGCCGGAAUGGGAAAAAUUAAAUUUGUGGGCUUGCUCUUCAAUUCGGUUGUGCCUUGCAAAAACUCAGAAGUAUUUUGUGAUGCGGGAGACGGUAGCAAGUGUGUGUUGUGGCAAAAAUUGGAAGACAAGUAUAUGACAAAGAGUGCAGAGAACCGACUACACUUGAAGAAAAAAGCUCUACCGCUUCCAAUACAAAGAAGGUACAAAAAUGAUUAGACACCUUGAUGCUUUUAAUAAGUUGAUUGCCGACUUGUUAAAUUUAGAUGAGGAUAUUAAGGAUGAAGAUAAGGCCUUAAUAUUGUUGAAUUCCUUGCCGGACUCUUAUGAGCAUUUUGUUACAACUAUUAUGCAUGGUAAAGAAACUGUGAAAUUUGAAGAUGUGUCAAAUGCCUUGAUGAAUUAUGAAAUGAGGCAUAGAGAUAAAAAUCAUGAUAGUACCUCUGAAGCUUUAUUUGUUAGAGGUAGAUCAUCGGAGAGGAGGUCAUCUUCUAGCAGGAAAAAAUCACAGUCUCGACCUAGAGGAAACUCUAAAGGUAGAAAACCUUUGGAAAGGGAUGAAUGUGCCUUUUGUCGUAAUAAGGGCCAUUGGAAGAAAGAUUGUCCCAAAUUGAAGACCAAAGGAAAAGAAAGUUCUGAAGCUAAUGUUGCUGAGGUUGAAACAGAUUUUUCUGAUUUUGCUUUAACCACUUCCUCAUCAUUUGAUUGUGCUACUAAGUGGGUGUUGGAUACGGGUUGUACUCAUCAUAUGACUCCUCACAAGGAUUGGUUUUCAAGCUUGAAAGAGUUUUGAUGGUGGCGUUGUGUUCAUGGGAGAUGACAAUCCUUGCACAACAAAAGGGAUUGGUACAGUUCGUUUGAAGUUGCAUGAUGGCAUGGUUAAAGAGUUGACAGGUGUUCGGUAUGUACCGAAUUUGAAGAAAAAUCUUAUUUCUUUGGGUACUUUGGAAUCUAAGGGUUUCAGGUUUCAUUCAGAUGGACAGACAUUGAAAGUUACUUAUGGUGCACUUGUUGUGAUGAAAGCUCCUAGAUGUGGCCAUUUGUAUUUAUUGCAGGGAAGCACUGUGACAGGUGAAGCAUCUGUAGUCUCUGAAAAUAUGGGCACAUCUGAUUCAGAUACUACUAGAUUGUGGCAUAUGAGAUUAGGCCAUGCCGGUGAGAAAGCUCUACAAGGGCUUGUGAAAAAAUGUCUUCUAAAAGGUGCCACGACUUGUAAGCUUGAUUUCUGCGAGCAUUGUGUCUUGGGAAAGCAAACUAGAGUGAAGUUUGGUACUGCUGUACAUCAGACGAAGGGCAUUCUUGAUUAUGUGCAUUCGGAUGUUUGGGGUCCUACAAAGACUCCCCUCUUUGAGUGGUAGACAUUGGUUCGUGACCUUUGUUGAUGAUUAUUCAAGAAGGUCUUGGGUCUACACUAUGAAGCAUAAGAGUGAGGUGUUAAGCAUUUUCUUGGGUUGGAAGAAAAUGGUUGAGAACCAGACUGGGAGAAAGAUUAAGAUUUUGAGAUCGGAUAAUGGUGGUGAAUACACAUCCGAUCCUUUCUUUAAAGUUUGCAAAGAGGAAGGAAUUGUGAGACAUUUCAGUGUUCGGGGAACUCCACAACAAAAAUGGAGUUGCAGAAAGAUUGAAUCGAACCUUGCUUGAGAAAGGUUAGAUGUAUGUUGUCUCAGUCGGGUUUAAGCAAGUCAUUUUGGGCAGAAGCAGUUAAUUAUGCAUGUCACAUCAUCAACCGGUUACCCUCAGCUGCUAUUCAGGGUAAGACACCAAUGGAGGUAUGGACUGGAAAACCUUCUUCUGAUUAUGAUCAUAUUCGUAUUUUUGGUUCACCUGCUUAUUUUCAUGUAACUGAAAAUAAACUUGAUCCUAGAGCCAAAAAGGCUAUCUUUCUUGGUUUUAGUAGUGGUGUCAAAGGUUACAGGUUGUGGUGUCCAGAGAUGAAGAAACUGGUAAUUAGUAGAGAUGUGACAUUUGACGAAGAAAGUAUGUACAAAGUCUCUGAGAAGAAUGUGAAAGAUGUCCAACAGGUGGAGCUUGAGAAAGUUGCUUCUGGUACUUCAAAUCCUAUUUCCGCUGAUGUCGAAGCCACUACAAGUGAAGAAGUUGGAGACCAUGAGGAUGUUGAAGAAGUUGAACUUGAAGAUUCUAUUCAAGUUGAAGAGCAAGUUUCACCUCAAGAGUCUAUUGCCAAGAACAGAGGAAAGAGACAAAUUACUAAGCCAGCUCGGUAUAGUGAUUAUGUUGCUUUUUGCUCUUCCUAUUAUCACUGAAGAGAUUCCAUCCAAUUUUGAGGAAGCUAUUGAGAGUGAGGAGAAGAAUAGGUGGUGCAAUGCCAUGGGUGAUGAGAUGAAUUCUCUCUUGAAGAACAAGACUUGGGAGUUAGCUAAAUUGCCUAAGGGCAAGAAAGCUAUUGGUUGCAAAUGGGUGUAUGCCAAGAAGGAAGAUGCUGAUGAGAAAAGCAAUGUGAGAUUUAAAGCAAGAUUAGUUGCUAAAGGGUAUGCACAAAAGGAGGGCAUUGACUACAAUGAAAUCUUUUCUCCGGUUGUGAAGCACUCCUCAAUUCGCAUUAUGUUAGCUCUUGUUGCACAGUAUGAUCUUGAGCUUGUGCAACUUGAUGUAAAAACGGCUUUCCUACAUGGUGAUUUGAAUGAAGAGAUUUAUAUGUGUCAACCAGAUGGGUAUAUAGUGAAAGGGAAGGAGAAUUUGUUUUGCAAAUUGAAGAAAUCACUUUAUGGUUUGAAGCAAUCUCCAAGGCAAUGGUAUUUGAGGUUUGAUAAAUUUAUGAGAGGCCAAAAUUAUUCUAGAAGUCAAUAUGAUCAUUGUGUGUACUUCAAGAAGUUGCAAGAUGGGUCUUUCAUUUAUUUAUUGAUAUAUGUUGAUGAUAUGUUGAUUGCCUCAAAGAAUGUCGAAGAGAUUGAGAAAUUGAAGAAGCAAAUGAAGAAUGAGUUUGAGAUGAAGGAUCUUGGUGAAGCGAAGAAGAUCCUUGGCAUGGAGAUCACUAGAGAUAGAGCAAAGGGUUUCGUCAGUUUGAAUCAAAAACAAUACCUUGAGAAGUUGAUUCGGAAGUUUGGAGUUCAUGAUUCAACCAAACCGGUUAGUACCCCUUUGGCUCCUCAUUUUAAAUUGAGUUCUCUACAAUGUCCUAAAAUCGAUAAAGAGAAACUGCAAAUGAAAAAUAUACCAUAUGCAAAUUUGGUUGGUAGUUUGAUGUAUGCAAUGGUAUGCUCUAGACCGGAUAUUGCUCAUGCAGUUGGCAUGGUGAGUCGAUAUAUGCAUAAUCCAAGUAAAGAGCAUUGGCAAGCAGCUAAGUGGAUAUUGAGGUAUCUCCAUGGUACUCGAGAUGUUGGUUUAUGCUUUGAGAGGGAUGACUCUGGUAUUGGUCAUUUUGCAGUUGGUUAUGUUGAUUCAGAUUAUGCAGGUGAUCUGGAUGGAAGGAAGUCUACUACAGGCUAUGUGUUUACUAUGGCUAAAGGGCCAGUUUGUUGGAGGUCCAUUUUGCAGUCGUCUGUUGCCUUGUCUACUACAGAGGCUGAAUAUAUGGCAGUUGCUGAAGCUAUAAAGGAGGCCAUUUGGAUACAUGGGCUUAUUAGAGAUUUGGGGGUUGAUCAGAAGCAGGUGGAGGUACAUUGUGAUAGUCAGAGUGCCAUUUAUUUGGCUAAGUAUCAGGUUCAUCAUGCGAGGACCAAGCACAUAGAUGUGCGUUAUCACUUUGUUCGUGAAAUUGUUGGUGAAGGGGAAAUCAUUCUCCAGAAGAUUCCAACUAAAGACAACCCCGCUGAUAUGUUGACUAAGGUUGUUGGUGUAGCCAAGUUUGUUCACUGUUUGAACUUGGCUCACAUUUUGCCUAUAUAAAGAAGGCGUUGAGUAGUAGGAGUUUUGGAGCAUUUGGCUCAGCAUGAGUUGUUCUCUUGCUAGUGUUUGGGAGUGAUGUUGUGUGCUAAUUGUGUUGGUUGGCUUAUCAUGGCGUUUUCGGAACUUGGCCAAGGUGGAGAUUGUUGGAUUAUGUGGCCAAGUGGCCAUAUACUUUAGAUUAAACAAACCAAAGGUGGACAACACCUUUCCUUGUUUUGGGGAGGAAAAUAGGGAAAAGGUUUUUUGUCUUGGUCCAUGGGAAGUCACGGUUGAGGUUUUGAAUAAUAAGUUUUGGUUGUAAUGAGAAGUAAGAGUGGGAUAGAAGAGAAGAAAAUAGAGUGCAGAAAAUUGAGAGAGCCGAAGAGAAGAGAGGGAGAGAAAGAAGGUACUGCUACAGUACCAUUUUCAGAGAAGGGGUUGUUGUUCCUUUCAUUGGAUAAUUCUCACUCCAUCAAAGUGUUAUUGUUGUAAUAGCUUUGAGCUUUGUAUAGAGAAGAAAUUAAUCACUAUAUUUCUUUCUCUAUUUGUUUCUUUGGAGUGUGAGUUAUUGGGUUAUUUGGGUUGUGAGAUUGCCAACACUUUGUAACUCCCAUUUGGUUGAUAGUGGAUUCUUGGGUGAGCUCCUACUGCUCCGAGGACGUACUCCAGUUACACUGACUGUUGAGGAACCUCGUUAAAAUCUUGGUGUCUUUAAUAUUUUGUUCUUGCAUUUUAUUUGAUAUAUUUCCUGUGGGUUAGCUUGAGUUGGUUCCACAAGGGUUUGGUGCUAUCCUAGCACAACAUCUUACUGGUGCACAUGAUUUAAAGAAAUAUACCAGCUGAUGCAAGGGCUGAUCUUCUUCGUUGGAGUAGAUAGUACGCGGUGCAAAGCACUAGAGCAGCAGCUAUAGAAAUGCCAAUCCAAACCCAUUUAUCUGCUGCAUCAUAAACAAUUAGCUAGCAACAUAUGCAAUCAGCGUAACACACACGCACAUGUACGCAUUAAUUGUCUUCAAUUUUUGGAUGAACUAGGUCUUGCAGGUUUCUUCCAGAAAACGAAGAAAAAUCCGAGACAGAGAGCAGAACUUAAGACAACAAUAACAAAGAUAGAGGUACCUAAUAAUACUGAUUCCACGCGUGUCACAGAUUUCCGGCUUAAAUCGGGUUUGCAGCCUCGGUAUAUAUCCUUCGGAUCAAGAAAAGAAAACCCUUUUGGGCAUUCGCAGGUUGGCCUUUUAUCUGGUUUGAGCUUACAGGUACUGUUGUAACCGCAAACACCAACGCCCAGUCGUAGGCAAAUAUCAUCCGGCAUAUACACCAGAGGACUAAUCCAGCUUGCAUUUCCAGUGAAGUAUUUCGGGUGAGAAUAUAAAGCGAAAAUCCCAUCAAAAUCAAGAGUUGCCCUUAUGUAGUUGUCCCUCACCGACACUCCCUCUGUCCCCUUAAGAGGGACUCUUCCAUCAUUUUCUCUCAGAACAGACAUGUCCCCUGAGCUGCUGAACACCAAUUCUUUGCCUUGACUACCUGGCACGUUCCCUGCGGUGGUCUUCGUGGAGAAGUAAGCUUUCUUGGCCUUAUCUGUUGUCAAGUUGACGGAAAUGAGCACGAGGUUUCCAUCAUCUUGCAAGCGCAGCUGGAACCGCCCUUUUGUGUAGUUAGUCUCCGAUUGUCUACACGAAAGCUUCCCAUUUCUCUCAAUUGUCUGUCCAGGCAAAACGGUGUCUGUAGGAUUGCUGAAGGUCUCCCACAAGCUCCCCGAGUUUUGGUGUUGAAGGACAAAGUUUCCGGUGUCAUUCAUGACCCCGUUCGCAACAGUCCCCAAGGUUAUUUCGGAUUUCCAUAUCUCUCCACCCUGAGGAUUGUUAAGAACUAGUCCACUGUUGGCAGUCAAGUUCAGAACUGAUCCCCUAGGUGCAACCAUGGGGUUGUUACCGUCGUAUGCAUACCAAACCACGGUUUUGUCUGGGAUAUUCGCAUACCAUAUCGAAAGCAAGAAAAGAUCAUUGUUUCCGAGGGGCGAAAAUCCAAACUCGAAAUCACCGGAUGGAGAAAGCCAUGAUGAGGAGUCGCCUAUAGUUGCAGUUAGAGAACUCCCAACUGCUACUCUUCCAUUAUUUUGGGAAAUCACAGAAAUUGGUAGCAAAAACAAAGAGAACAAAAGCAUCUCUACAGAAAGAGCCACUGCCAUUGCAAAAGCACCAAUUUUUCAACUUGGCUUAACUGAUUAGCUAUAUUUCUUAGUAAAGCAUUGGUCCUUGUUUAUAUCUUCAAGUAAAUGUGUGUGCAUGUGCCUGUCAUUUUCUAAGUUUUUGCCUGGAAUCAUUUUUUGAAGUCAAUGUUACCCAUCAGCCACGAUAUGACCUCAGACCUCGCUACAUCACACACAAUAAUAUCUCCGGGCCUACAGAAUAAUUUCUCCAAACCUACACAUAUCACAAGAAUUUCACUUUGAAAAAAAUAAUAUAAUGAACAGUUUUAUAUAUAAGACACCGAUACCGAUACUUUUUGUGAUAGAACUUAUUGUCUCUCUCAAUUCCUUGUAAUGUUGCAAGUUGGAGCAAUAUUGAUGUAAUUAGUAAUGGCCCGCUAACUUGCCUCUCUCAAAUCUCUUUUCAUCCUACUCUCGUCCCUCGUCCGUUUUAUGAUUCUACUUAAUUAAGCACUUAUAAGUGUUCCAAAUCAAACUUGUAACUUAAAUAAUUAAAAAUAUUUAUCACUACACUGGGGAUUCUAGGUUCCAAAAUAUAAUAUAUAAUAUAUAUGAAUGUUCCAAACCAAAAGGACAAGUAAAUACGAGCAUGACUCACGCUGCAUGUGUCGGCCAUUCAAGUCCACAAGUCAAAAUUCAACAAUGGGGCCCACAAAGAAAAUUUGAAAAAGUACAUGCAGAUUGAGGACGUAUACAAAGAAUCUGAAAACAAACCUCCAGGACCAAACAAAGACGACUAAGUCUCCAUUUCUGUAUUCACACAAACCAAAGUACUAACUGAAGUUUUUAAUGUAUGAUUACGUCAUUGGGGUAAAACACCCGAGGCCGAGUUGAGAUAAUCACAGGGUUGGGGAAUCGAGAUCCUCUCCGAAUGUCACAGUCUGGCACAAACGAACGUAGAGAUCCGAACCACUUAUUUUAAAUUCUACGGUCUUCAUUAGCCUAUCCUAUUGGCCCACAUCACACAAGGGGCCCAAAUCUUUCUCUCCCCUCUCUUGAACGGUUUGGAUAUCUCGGUCUGUCGAUUUUGGAUUGGGAGAUUCAAAGAGAAUUUGAUUUCGGGUUUGAGGUGUGGUUCGCCGACCAUUUGAAGCUCGUUGAGGCGUGGCCCAUCUCAUCCACGUCGGGAUAGCCAUUUCGUACCAAGUUGGAUCCCAGGUCAGGCCAGUCAUUUCAUUAGCCUAAGAUAGACCUGACAGACGAGGCGCUUGGAUAUUGCCUACCGCGACCAAAUGGACCCAUGGGCUCAUUAGAUGAUGAGUCUGGACCCUGGGGUGUGUAAAGCCCACCUCAGCUCGAUCCAUAUUCGGUCGAUACUUAAGGGAAGGUGGAUAUGGGGUAAAGGUAGAGUAAGCUCCAAGCCAUGUGGAGGUCAGUCGAGAUUGAACACACAUUCAUAGAAUCAUAGUAUGAAAUUCAAGUCCAAAUUUUAACACUACGAAACCGAAAAGCAUGCAACUCCGAAGAGCAUUGUUUCAGUCCAACAACCUAAACUUCCUUAAAAAACUAAGACAAAAACGACGACACUAGUAAACGGAAAAACAUGCAACUCAGAAAACCAUUGCUCUAGUCUAAAUGAGGUUCCUCAAUGCCUCAAGCUUUUCUAAACACCAUAGCCUGAACCUUUUCCUUUGCGCCUUCUUUGCUUCACCAGAAACGUUCUUAAUGAGCUUCCUUCAAAUUUGGGACGAGCAGGCAUUAGGCUGUGCACAAUGCUGUAAAUGCCCCUAGCCCUUGCCACACCCUAGGUGCGUACGCUUGCAUGUCCGACCUGAGUUAUCUCAUUACGCGCGCAGUUUGAUCUUCCCGUAUUGACAUCCCUGCUGUCUAUUCUCAUGCGAAUCCUUUUGCUGGUGACUUCAUCCGGGUCCAUUUUCUUGCUCCUCAGUGCAUGUUCAUCUGCUUUUCCCUAUUAAUAAAUAUAGGAAUCCCAUAACAAACAGCAUUUGACAAAACAGAACGUAAUAAUAACAACAAAACUUGACUUCAUCCUCAUUGCAUGUUCAUCUGCUUUUCCACUUCAAAGCAGCUGACGGCACGAUUCGUACUUGGACUCCAAGAUGUCUAGAUUAUGGAGAAACUAUCCCUUUGUCCAAAACACACAAAGAAGUGGAUUUUCCGUUUAUACCAAGUGUGUUGAAGCAUGUCCCACAUGGCCACAUCGGAAACUUGUUGAAGUUUAAAUCCUCUUAUAUAGAAAGUUCGACUACUAAUUGCCUUGAGGCCUUAAUUUUGUAUAAAACCAUACCUAUUGAAUUGCACACGUGCUUAAGUUAAGGUUAGUAUUAAUGGUAAUUAGUAGUGGGCCGCUGGUCGUCUUCAAAAAACUGGUACAAAGGGAAGAUUUAUAGAAGCAGUGUUGAGAUAAAGGCAAUUCAUCUGUUCUUUUUAGAAGGAUAUAAAUGAAGCAAGGUUUAUCUGCUCACCCGUAAUGCGGCUCAGCCCUUCAUCAAAAAGUGAAAUAUCAAAAUUACUUUUACAGCAAGAGCAAUACCAGAAGAUGUAAUCUAAAUUGUUUAUAUUUGGUUCCCUUGAAAUCCUUUUGACUGUUUCAACAUAGUAUAUGUUGGUAUUUAAAAGUUUAGAAACUUAAUACCAAUUAUGUGGGUGAUAGGUUUUCUAACUCUAUCACACCUCUAUCUCUUUUACUCUCUUUGAAAAUGGAUCGAUAGAAAGAAAAAACAGCAAGCUUCUUAAAGAAACAAGUACUUGAUAUAUUAAAAGAGUUUCAACUCUAUUGCUGAAAAUAUGGAAUGGAAUUACAAAGAGCCUUACGGAAAGGCAUUCUUAUACUUGCAAAAAACAAGAGAACCACACAAGUGGUUUUCAUAAACAAAUGCAAACAAAGACUUUCUAGACUUAGCUAGUGGAAAACUAUCCAUGCAAAAUAAAAUAAAGGGGUUCAAAGUCUUUACUUGCAGCAGUUUUAGACUAUUGAACACACACACACACACACUACUUUAUUCUAGUGGUUUACAACCACAUUUCGGCUAGCACAGAAGAGAAGCAUUAAUUUGGGUAAGUGCAGGAAGUAUGAGUCAAAAGAAACAGCUAGCAGCCCACUAACAUUGAAAUAAUGUUUUUAUUUGAACUUCCAACACUCCCCCUCAAAUCAAAACACCUUCAUUCCUAGCAUGUCAUGCAGCAGCCGGAAUGAUUCAAUUGGCAGUGGCUUUGUGAAGAUGUCAGCCACUUGUUCCUUGGUGUGACAAUAGAUAAGCUCAAUUAUCUUUUGCUUCACAUGAUCCCUCAGAAAAUGGAACCUGGUAUCGAUGUGCUUGCUCCUUCCAUGUUGAACAGGAUUCUUUGCAAGCUUGAUUGCAGACAUGUUAUCCACAUGAAUCACAGUAGAUUCCACUUGUGGAUGACAUAAAGAUUUCAACAGAUUUCUUAACCAAAUUGCCUCACACACAGUUAAGGCUGCAGCAACGUACUCGGCUUCACACGAUGACAGAGCAAUAAUUGAUUGCUUCUUUGAAGUCCAUGAGAAAGCUGUUGAUCCUAGAAAAAACACAUAGCCAGUUGUACUUUCCCUUUCAUCUUGGUCACCUCCCCAAUCACUAUCUGAAUAACCAAAUAAUUUUGCAUCUUCACCAAAAUUAUAAAACAGACCAUAGUUUAGAGUGCCUCUUAUGUACCUUAAAAUUCUCUUGGCAGCCAACCAAUGAGACUCAUUUGGUGUUUCCAUGUACCGACUCACGAGUCCAACACCAUAAACUAUAUCUGGUCUUGUGAUUGUAAGGUACCUCAAGCUUCCAACGAGGCUUUUGUACACGGUUGAGUUUACAAGCUCACCUUCUCCUUCCUUGGACAGUUUCAAUCCAGUUGCAACUGGAGUGUUGACAAUAUUGCACUUGUCCAUAUUGAAUUUCUCCAAUAUAUCUCUCAUGUACUUUUGUUGAGAGAUGUAGAUACCGUUACUUUCUUGCUUCACCUCUAUGCCAAGAAAGUAUGACAUUAAUCCAUUGUCAGUCAUCUCGAAUUCACUGAACAUGGAUUGCUUGAACUCACAGAACAUUGCUUCAUUGUUUCCUGUAAACAACAAGUCAUCUACAUAGAGACAAAUAAUUAAGAACUCCCAUUUUUCACCGUUCUUCAUGUAAACUGAAUGCUCGUAUGGACAUUUCUGAAAUCCAUUUUGGUGAAGGUAGUUAUCAAUCCUUGAGUUCCAAGCUCGUGGUGCUUGCUUGAGGCCAUACAAAGCCUUUUUCAAAUGAUACACCUUAUCUUCUUCUCCUUGUACUCGGAAGCCUUCCGGUUGUUUCACGUACACUUCUUCCUCAAGAACUCCAUUAAGGAAGGCUGACUUGACAUCUAGUUGAUAAAUUUUCCAUUUAUGAUGAGUGGCAAGAGAGAUUAGCAAUCUUACCGUGUCAAGUCUUGCAAUUGGAGCAUAGACUUCAUCAUAGUCCACUCCAUACUUCUGUUUGUAGCCCUUUGCUACAAGCCUUGACUUGUAUCAAUCCACACUCCCAUCUGCAGUGCGUUUGAUCUUGUACACCCACUUGACACCAAUAGCCUUCUGAUUUGGUGGGAGCUUUGUCAACUCCCAAGUGUCAUUCUUCUCGAUGGCAUGGAUUUCUUCCUCCAUGGUUAUUCUCCAACGAUCUUCUUCCACAGCUUCAUUGAAUGAGAGAGGCUCGUGGUCUACAUACAAGCAGAAAAAAUUGGUUUCUUCUUCUUCUUCUUGUCCAUAUAUCUCGGUGAGACUUCUUAGCCUCACUGGAGUUGAUGAGCUGCUUUCCUCACUGGAUGUAGGACCACUCCUUGCAAUUCUGUGCACUGGAGUUAUUGUGGUUAUUUGAGCAGGUUGUUGCUAGAUAGGUGGUACAACUUCUGGUUCUUCAAAAUCAGUGGAAACAAUCUUCUCUUUACUGACUUCUUUGUUGUUCCACUUCCAUGCAUCUUCCUCACUGAAGAUGACAUCUCCACUAACCACUAAUUUGCCAGUUAGUGGGUUGUAGAGCUUAUAUGCCUUUGACUCUUCACUAUAGCCCACAAACACACACUUUUCACCUCGAUUAUCAAGCUUCCUCCUCUUGGCUUCUGGAACCUGAGCAUAUGCAACACACCCAAAAACUCUUAGGUGUGCAACAUUCGGCUUGUAUCCACUCCAAGCCUCUUGUGGUGUCAUCCUCUUGACACUCUUUGUUGGACAUCGAUUCAACAAAUAAAUUGAACAAGCUACAGCUUUUGCCCACAAUUCUUUUGGCAAAUUCUUCUCCUUAAGCAUGGACCUUGCCAUGUCAAGGAUGGUUCGAUUCUUUCUUUCGGCUAUUCCAUUUUGCUGUGGGGUAUAGGCAGUAGUCAGUUGAUGCCUAAUUUCUUGCUCCUUGCAAUAUGCUUGGAAAGCAUUGGAGGUGUACUCUCCACCUCUAUUUGAUCUCACAGCCACAAGCUUGUGGUUGCUUUCAGCCUCUGUGAGUGCCUUGAACUCCUUGAAAACUUUUAGGGCAGCUGACUUCUCCUUGAGAAAAUAGACCCAAGUCUUCUUACUGAAAUCAUCAAUGAAGGUAAUAAAAUACCUAUUACCUCCAUAGGACAUAGGAUCUAACGGACCACAUAUAUCCGUAUGUACCAACUGCAGUGGUGCUUUUGCUCUCCAUGCAUCACCAACAGGGAAUGUGAGCCGUGUUUGCUUGCCAAGCACACAACCUUCACAUACUUGGCGUGUGGCUUCAAUCUGGGGUAGACCACGAACCAUUCCUCCACUUGACAGCAACUUUAGGCCAUUGAAAUGAAGAUGGCCAAACCGAAGAUGCCAUUUCCAUGACUUAUCUUCCAUUACACCGAUGUUGCAACUCCCAAUCCUUGUGUUCAACUUCAAUGGGAACAUUCGGUUCUUUGACAUUUGAACACGUGCAAUAAGUUUUCUCCUUGCAUUCCUAAGAGUGAGAAACAUAUCCUCCAUAUGUAUAAUAUACCCUUUCUGGAGCAGUUGACCAACGCUCAGAAUGUUGCUCUUCAUACCUGGUAUGUAGUAGGUAUCGAAGAUGUAUUCUUCUCUACCAUCCUUCUGGAUGAUUUUGAUCUUUCCUUUGCCUUCAACUGGCAACUUUGAGGAGUCACCAAGACUCACAGAUCCAUAAGGCCCAUCUUUGAGUUCGGCAAAAAACUCUUUCUUUCCACACAUAUGGUUGCUUGCACCAGAGUCCAAAUACCAAACAUCUUGUUGGUUACUGGAAUCAUGGUGUGCUAGUAAGACUGUAAAUUCCUCACCAGCAUUUCCACUUGAUUCUGCCAUGUUGACAUGCUCACCAUUUUUAUAUGAACAUUCACCUUUCCCAGACCCUGCGUAAAGCGGGAGCCUUGUGCACUGGGUACGACCUUUUUUUUUUUUUUUAUUCAUUGGCAUAAUGUCCAUAUUGCUUGCAACUGUGACACUGGAUAUGUGCCUUUCCUCGAGUAGAUCUGCAUUCUUGAGACUGAGCUCGAUUUUGUGCAUAGCCUCUACCUCUUCCUCGGGCUCGUCCUCGGCUACAGUUGGAUGAAUUCCCACGACGUGAGUUCCACUGCCCACGACCUCCAUUUGGUUUGUCAAUAUUCAACUUUGACUCCAAAGCUUGCUCUAGCGUUGUGGGGCUUGCAUUCUUCUGAAUGCGUUGCUCGUGAACUAUGAGGGAUCCUAGUAGCUCCUCUGCGCUCAUCGCCUCCAAAUCCUUGGAUUCCUCAAUGGCAGUCACCACAUGCUCAAACUUAGAUGUGAGUCAUGUGAGUGACUGGAGUAUCUUCUCCACAACUCGUACUUCAUCGAGUCUCUCGCUAUUUAUCCUCAUCUGAUUUACUAUCACAAUGAGCCUUGAGUGAUAGUCGGAGAUGCUCUCCCCUUCAUUCAUGUGAGUAGUUUCAAAAUCUGCUCGAAGUGACUGUAACCUCACUUUCUUGACUCGAUCUACUCCUUUGUAGAUUGUACUGAGUGUGUCCCAUACUUGCUUGCUCGUUGUUGCUUCUGCAACCUUCUCAAACGUUGAAUCUUCUAGACCCUGGUAUAGAAGAUACAACGCCUUCUGGUCCUUCUUUCGUAAGUCCUUGAGAGUGUUCCUUUGUUCUGCAGUAUAUGCGGCUUCUUGAUUGGCAGUGGGUACAACAUACCCAUUACUGACAACUUCCCAUAGCUCCUGUGAUCCAAACAAUGCUUUGAAUUGGAUGCACCAUCUUUCAUAAUUUUCUUUCUUCAAUGUGGGAACCUGGAGCUGCACUAAGUUGGACGCCAUAACUGCUGCACUUGCCAGAAUGGUAUUCUGGCUCUGAUACCAAUUGUUGGUAUUCAAAAGUUUACAAACUUAAUACCAAUUAUGUGGGUGAUAGGUUUUCUAACUCUAUCACACCUCUCUCUUUCUUUUACUCUCUUUGAAAAUGGAUUGAUAGAAAGAAAAAACAACAAGCUUCUUAAAGAAACAAGUACUUGAUAUAUUAAAAGAGUUUCAACUCUAUUGCUGAAAAUAUGGAAUGGAAUUACAAAGAGCCUUACGGAAAUGCAUUCUUAUACUUGCAAAAAACAAGAGAACCACACAAGUGGUUUUCAUAAACAAAUGCAAACAAAGACUUUCUAGACUUAGCUAGUGGAAAACUAUCCAUGUAAAAUAAAAUAAAGGGGUUCAAAGUCUUUACUUGCAGCAGUUUUAGACUAUUGAACACACACACACACUACUUUAUUCUAGUGGUUUACAACCACAUUUCGGCUAGCACAGAAGAGAAGCAUUAAUUUGGGUAAGUGCAGGAUGAGUCAAAAGAAACAGCUAGCAGCCCACUAACAUUGAAAUAAUGUUUUUAUUUGAACUUCCAACACUAUAUGCAGAGAGAACCAGAACCAAGUCCAGACUCACUCGUAAUAGGUCUCUCCUCAUCCACAACAAUAUCCCAGCUUUCCCUUGUCGUGGUUUUCCCAUAUUUGUGCACCUUACUGCAAAGAGAGAGCAAGUUAACUUGUCAAAGAAAAACCAGAACAAUAGAUGCCAAUGCAGUUCAGAAAGUUUAUUUCCCUUCAUACCCAUUUCCAAAGUGCUCUUCUCCCCAUGUCCUUGACCAACCUAGACAUGAGAGAACAAAAACAAAGUCACAUCAGAUUAAAUUAUUGAAAGAAAAAGGUUCACUUACAAAUCGACAUUAGAAUCAAGCAACCACGCUAUGAAAUACAAAUUUAAAAUGUAACAAUUUACUGUGUCUGAAAGGAAUCUGUGAAAUAAAAUAGUUAAACCCUAAACAGCACCACUGCAAAUAGCAUAAGAAAAUUAAAAUUAACCCUAAAGAAAUUGGGAGAGAAGAAUAUGAAAAGGGAAUACCUUUCGGCCCUUUGAGUUAUUGGAAAAAACCCAACAGAGCAAAAGAUAAACAAAAAUACAGGAGGAAAGAAAAUAAAUUUUCAACUUGUAAGAUUCAUACACGAACAGAUUGGCGGUCAAAAGCAUUUCGAAACUCAGAGCCAUCAAGCUUUUUGAUCUGCAUGGAAAUUAUUUAUGAAGUUUGAGAUUCUUAUAGAUGCUUUAGACACAUCGACAUAUUGAAAAAGCAAUAUUCAACAACCUAGUACCCAUGCUCCCUAGAAGGGUACAGAAAAUAUGAAUGUCUGGACUCUGGAGUGAGAAAGUAAAAGGACUUGCCGCAUACUUCAUAUCUUCCAAGUUUGUGUAGUCUACAAUCCCUGUUGUGCCUACAAAAAAGGCAUAGGACAAAAGCUAAAUCAAUCGAAAUUCUGAUGUCUCAUGAUCUAGGUCUUAGGAUUAAACUACUGAAAUAACACUACAUGAAAUAGCUGUGUAUAUCCCAAAAAAAGUAUGAAAUCUGGUUGAUAAUUGAAGACUUCGAAGGGAUUUACCUUUGGAUUCUUUGGCUUUCAGAUGGAGUUUGCUUAUGUGUGGGGGAGAGAGGUGGAGCGGCUAGGGCUUGAGUAUGGAAGAGAUGAAAAAUGCAGAGAGCACCUGUUUUCGCUGAAGCAACUCACACACUCUGGACAAAUCUGCAAAUGUCUAAAAGGGGGAAAAUAUAAAAAGAAACCUUAACAACUGAAUUCAAAGAAACAUUAUUACAUUGUAAAUAACAUUUCACAAAAAAAAAAAAAAAAAAAAAAAACUGAACUAAACUAAUUACACUCGGAUUGCAAUGCUAUCAUUUAAUAAUAGGAAUUCCCAUAACUUAGCAGAAGACCUGCAUCUGCAAAGGAUUCUUUAAAACCUAUUUUUUUUGAACAACCCCGCACCUACAACACAUCCAGGCAAGGUAAACCAAUAGCACCCUCAUUCUAAGCUCUUCUGUGCAUAUAUACCCCUUAUAAGUAAUCUUAAUCAAUCAGUUAUCAUGAAUAUAGUCAGUUAUCACGAAUAUACAACUUAUAUUAAUUUUCUACAAUAUCCAACACACAAAUAUAACAGAAGAGGAAACUUUUACUUAAGCAGCACAAAAUGAUAUCCUUUGCAUUUCAUUCCAAAAUCCAUCACUCUUAUGUCUUUGCCUGCACAGUUUUUGCUCCAACAUAGCCCGCCAUGAUGAUAGCACUAUCAAUAAUUAAGACAUAAAGAAAGGCUAUCCUAGCUAGGUAUUAUCAUUGGAGUAAACCAACAACACCAUAAGUAAAGUAGCAGACCAAAUUUUUUCUAGAAUUGAUGUCUUAACAUGUUUAAGUAGCGAAAAGAUUACAACACAUUGGAUGUGUUAACACAUCCAUAAGCUAAUGACUCCCUCUCCGGAUCACUACAUCAUUCUUAAUGUAUUCAACAAUGCAGCAGCAAUUAAAAGUCCUUGGAAAAUGCCAAGCUACUACAAUGACAUAACGAAAAACUAUAUCUCACCUUACCCCCUUGUUGGCAUAGACUGCAUAUCCGCCCUUGUUCGGGGUGAAUCAUAAUCCUGAACUCAAUUAUCAUCAUCGUUGAGAAUGUCAAACUUUAAAUCAACCAUGCAUGGAACAAAACUUAGAAAUUAAACAAUUAUCAAAGCUUAUGAAGAAUGCUAAACCCAACUAAUUCGAAACAUAAAGUAACCCAAAAGAGAGAAAACUUAUAAAUUUUACAUAAAUUAUAAUCCUUAACAGAAGGAUGGAACAAAGCAGGUUCAUUCUUGAGAAUAGAUGUAAUUUUGCACAUUGCAUAUAUGUAGAUUAAGGCUGGUGGUAACAUACCUUGUAAUUUGUACAAAUUAGGAUUUUCAUUCAAAGAACCAUAAUAUACACAAUUACAAAAACAGUGAUUCAAACUUGUUCUUCUCUUAAGGAAAUUACUCACAGUUGAAAUUCUGAAUGGACGAAGUUUUGGCAUCCCUUUCUGACUAUAUUUGAUUAACCUUUUUUUAAUCCAAUGAGUGCCUUCAUGAGAGAGAGAGAGAGAGAGAGAGGAAUAUUAGGUGAAAUGUAUUGCCAAAUCACACAGAGAUCAAAAUCUUGAAUAUAUAUGUUUAACCAUAUCAAAGUGAGUGUGUGAAAGGGUGUAGUCUGCAGAAAGGGCAACAUUUUCACUGCUAGAAAGUUGGAAACUAAACUUUUACACAGAUAUUGGAUUUUAUUAAUUCCCUCCGCGAAUUGAAAAGCAAAUUGUUCGAGUAAUGCAGGUAAAUUCGAUAUACAUAUGCGUUGAUCUAUGUAAGACAGUUAUAAGUUAUAACUGUAUCGUCUUAACACAAAAAUGAUCAUAAAUGUAAGUGUCUGUAUUAUGGAAGUAAGGGACUUACAGCAAUUGCUAUGAGCUAUAACAGCAGUCACUCCAAGUACCCUAUUAUGGAAGUAAGGGACUUAUAUCAAUUGCUAUGAGCUCUACCAGCAGUCUCUCAAAGUGGUGCAACGGCUAAAAUUAUAAAUAAAAAGUAAUUUAAACAAUUUAACUUAAUAAAAUAUUGUAAUUUAAACAAUGCCUAUAUAUUCAAACAUCCCAAAACAGGAAUGAACUUCCAAAAAACAUGCGCAUGAAAAUAAACGGCAUUACUCACCCAUUGAGUUGGACCAUCAAACUGGAGCGUAAGAAGGAUCAUCAUGUACCUAUGAAACCCAAAGGAAACUUUUAGCAACCCCAAAGCUUGUAUGCAAGCGUGAAUAAGUAUGCGUGUAUGAAUCUAUUCAUAGUGAAGAAGGCUACCUUAAGAAAUAUUUGCAUCUGCAGCUUCAUAUGGCCAUACAACAAAAAGCAUCGCAUAUGAUAACAAACCCCAGCUGCACCACAAAAGGAAUAUGAUCUUCCUCUCAACUUGUAUUUGCAGUUGUUACUGUAACAUCUGCAGACAGCAUACAUAAGCACUGAUUCGAAAAUUCUAAAGGAAAAAAAGUCCUUAUUCGAUAAUGCACCAAAUCCUAUCCGAAAACCAAGGGGGUGCCAUAUCCCUAGAUUAACAGAGCAUCUUUCUUUGUUCCAAAACAAAUUGCAAUUGGCUUUGGUAAAGUAGAAAGAUUACCAGAUACCGACUCUGUUCCAUUAUUCGACUGUCCUUUUAGUUCUGUCUCUCAACAUGGGAAAUACAAUAAGACAGUAAAAACAAAAGUUAGUGAUGCUAUUACAUAGUGAAAGAAAAUAAGACAUUCACAUAUUGAUAGCUAUUUACUGUCCUUUCUCAUCAUAAUCUUGGCCCAUAUAUAUAUAUAUAUAUAUUGAAUUUUGAAAGCAAUGAGAGAAAUAUACCUUUGGGGCGUCACUGCCAGAAGGGUGAGUGAGGGAUCUAAGAUGUUUGAGAGCAGAAAUUUUUAAGUAAUUUGUGCGAAAAAGUUGAAGAGCUUCGAACAGAGUGGAGUGGGUUGGCCUGGGCUAAAAUAAAGAGGAUGAACUCUAGAAAGUAGAAAAUGUUGUGUUCAACCAAACUCAAAAGUAAAGAAACCAUACAAUUAACAUAUAAAUAAGUUUUAUAUACCAAUGAUUACAUGUACGUUGUUUGAGAAGGUAAAUUAGCAACAUAUACAGUGAUCAAAAGAUUAACAGCAAUAAACUGCUCAUUAUUCAAAAUAUACAAGAAAGUUGUCAUUCACAUGAUCCAAAUGGUAGAGGACAAAACAGAAGGAAGCAAAUAUUAUAGCAGCAUAAGUUGAAUAAUUGCAGCAAGUAAACAAAUAGAAAGGCUAGCUAGAUUACACAAUCCAGUUCUAGGUCAGACUAACCAUGUUAGCCAUCCGCCCACCACCAUCACCGUCGGCUUCUUAUUAAAAAUGUAGAAUAGAAGACUCAAAAACUGGAAAUGAAAGUAGGUAACAUUGAGUUUUAAUAACCAAAAAGGGACACUGUUUAAGCAGCUCCACAACAGCAAUAAUACUUGGACGAUGAGCUGCAAAAACAGAAAAGAAAACACAAAUUAAACUAAAAAAAUAUAAAAUUUAACACUAAUCCAAGGAUUAAAUAUCAAAUAUAAAGUCAUUAGGAUUGGGACCUUUGCAUUGAGGAAUAUCUACUACAUUAUGAGUUCCCUCCUGAUAAAGCCCAAUCAGGGGGUUUUCCGAUGAGCCAAGAACGGCUAACUUUGCGUGACACCGCCAUCCCCACUAACACCAAACCAAGAUAAUAUCAAGAUCAAAACUAACCAAUACCAGAAAGAUUUUUUUAUUUAAAUUUUAAGAAAAGACCUAAACUUUACGAAAUUAAGGGGGAAAACAAAGUUAAGUAAAGCACCAAUUUGCAACUGUCAAAAGUGAAAUAUGAGACUGCAACUGCCUAGAAGAACUCCGUGGCCUCAUCGACGAUGACCGGAUGGUGGAGAUUGAACUGGUGCGUACACCUGGAGCACCUGAUUAUACACCGAACAUAGAACAAAAUUUAAAUCAAGUCGAACAAUAAUUGUGAGAAAAUAAACUAAAAGGGAUUUGAGCUGAGAGUUACGAUUCGAAGUGCGGCAAUGGAGGGUGCAGGUUAGCGGCGGCAGAGGAGGGGUUGAGCUUGGGCUCAGUGAGAGAGAAGGUAGUGCUAAAGGCACUAUUUGUCAGCCAAUCAUGUAAUAGGCACACCACUUUUCUAUAUAUGACAAAAAUUAGGAGUUCUCCAAACUAAAGCAUGAAAUUAGAUUCACCAGAGAAUUGGAAAUUGCACAUGAAAAAAAUAAUAUACAUCAUGCCAUUUGUGAUUUUGAAAGAAAAAAAGAAUACCUUCUUCAGGUCCGCUUUAGUAGGUGGAGGCUCUUGAUAGAAGAUUGGCAUUGGAGUCGUUUUACAAAUCAGUUUCUUCCUGAACAUCCUAAUGUCAGCUUCUAGAGUUUCCUGUAAAAGAACAGACAACAUUCAUAAUAAGAAAAUCUCUCUCUGCAAUCGUAGAAAUCCCUCGGGUUUCAGGAAGCAAAUGGAAAACGAAAUGCUUUUCUCCCGUAUCUCUCUCUCUCACCUCUGUCCCAUCUCUCUGUCUCCAAAUCGCAGAAAAGAAACCCUAAACAAAUCCCUGAAAUCCCUCGCCUAAAUCCUCCCACAUUUCUCUCGGACACCCCCCUCUUUCUCUCUGCAAACCCUAAACCAAAUCUCCUAAAUCCUAUCUUUGACACCCCACAUACAGCCAAGAUAUUAAAGCAAUCUCUAUAUAAUACUUUGGAACAAUGAAGAAAAAUGGUACUUACUUGUUCCUUGUCCAAAACCGUUGGUGCUGCCGCACAUUGUUAUCAAUUGUGGGUUGAUCAAAUCCUUCAUGGCUUAGACUGCAUGAAGAAUUAGAAACUAAAAGAUGAAUAUAUGCCGUAAAUCAUCAUAUAAAUGUAAGUGCAUUUAAAAAAAAAAAGGGAAUGACAAAAUUGAAUUCUAUUUCAUCAGUAUGUAACUGCAUGAAAAGUUACUUUGAAUGAAGACUCGAUCAAUUUCCCCAAAGUCAUUGUUAACUGAAAAUCAAUAUCAAACCCAUAAAUACCACAUUGAAUUUGACCAAGUUAAAGGAUAAAGGCACUCGCAUCAUCGUAUUACUCUUUGGGAAGAUCUUCUAAUAAUGGUUCUUCCUUUUUCUUGCUCUUCCUUAGAACUGCCAUAAAAACCCCAGAGAAGCAUACAAAUUCAGAAAAGAAAAGGUUCAAAACUGCCAUAAAAAAAAUCUAGAAAGCAUACAAAUUUAUCAGAAAGAAAAGUUCAAAUUACAAAUACCAAAUGAUGUGAGUAAGUAGUGAGAGGUUGUGUUAGGCACCUGAAACACGUUUUGGUUUCAAUUGAAAGGGCCAGAGACAACAUCCACAUUCUUUUUUCUUGGGUGAACUAACCAAAUCAUAUUAUAUACUAAAACGACAUAAAAAAUCAUUCACAAACUCACAACAAAAUAGAACAAAAAGAUUCACAAAAGAUUUGGGAGUUGAGACGCUAACAAAAACAUUUCUUUUCUAAACAAAUACACAACCGCUAAUCUGGGUUUGGUCAGUUUGACUAAAACGGUGCGCUAUUUUGCAUCUAAAUAUAGUAUAUCGCUUAAAUAAAAUUAAUAAAAAAUACACAUCCAAUGCUUUUAGUCUAAAGCUAGAAUUAGGAAUAACUGAGGAAGUUAAUGAAGGCAAAGCAGAGGGUAGGAAGCAGAACAUACCAAGAGACCAGUAGGCCAUCGGGGCCGGUCUGCCGAUGAACGCUGUGUACUGGUUGACAACGCCCAACGGAGUUGGCGCAGAAAAGAAGUAAAAGUCGAAACCACCCUCAAUGACCUUGUAGGUGAGAGAAGUCCCUCUGUAGAACACAUCCAUGCCAUUGCUGUUGAGCAGCAAAACGGAGUGCGCGUAAGCCUCGUUGCCCACAUUCCGGAGAUCCAUGUAAACUGGGUGGGACCCGUACAAAUCAGUGUUGAGAUUGAUCGCUGAGAAGUUAGUGGUGAAGAGGAUGUAUUUAUCGUUCGGGUAGAGCUUGAUCCCGUGCGGCUGAGAGUUCUCUUCGAGGCCGUACAAGGAGGAGUAUUUCGGCACUCGGGUGGAUAUCUUGAGGUCUAGUCCUUAAACACCAGUACUAGUCCAAUAAACCACUCCGCUUUUAUUGAUUUUCAAUUCAUGUUCAUUCGGGUCCCAAACAAGACUGAACGGCCCCAGAGCCGGGUUGUAGGUAUCUACAUAUGAUAUAAGUGCCCACGUGGCCAUCAUUGCGGUUGACACCUAACUUCAUACCCGGUAAAAAUGUGUAUCCAGGAUAAUCACUUCAGCCGAUCGAGGGUGAUUUGAGGUGUUUUCUAGCUGAAUUGGACUUCGACCCAAGUAUGAAAGUUGUUCCUCUUAUCGAGAUCUUCAUUCAUGUAAAAUUUGGGAAUUUUAGAAUUGUUGAAUUCUCCGGCGAGUCAGGGCUACCAGCCGCCACGUGUUUCGGCGCAUGGCCCUUUGGCCGCUGUCCCGUGGCGACUCGUGCGGUGAUGUAUGCAGGAAAACCUAAGGUUCCUCCUUAGGUUUUUCAAUGUACCAAACCCGAAUCCGCCGUCCUUUUUUCAAAAUUCUAACGUUUUCAUAGAGUUUUAUUAAACGACCUUUAAUUGUGUUUAGGUGCAUCGGUGGAGGUGACCUCAUUCUUGAUGGUUCGAGCGGCUUUCGGGCAAUGGAAAACUUGUGAGUGGACCCCUUCUAAACUUAUAUAUUGUUAUAAAAUAUUAGCCUAGCAUGCAUUCCAUAUUUCAUGAUUUGAAUAUGAUUUAUAAUAUGCUUUAUGGACUUUUAUAAUUAUGGUUUACGAAAUAGUUUGAUUUAUCGAAAUUACGUUUUAUUAGGUAUUGAAUUAUUGGAUUUGCAUAUAUGGAUUUCUAUGGUUUUCAAAUACGAUUUAUAUUACGGUUUUACGAACAUGAAUUAUUUUAUGGAUUUCAUGAAUACAAUUUAUCUUGGAUUUAUGAGAUGAGAAUUUGAGCUAGUGAGCUCCGGGUUUGAUAUAAGUUUUGAGAUAUGUUUUUGGUACUUAUCUAGUGGGUUAUCAUACGGCACAUCCGCACACCACGGGUAUAGAAUUGUAUGGCCAUAGGACACAGAUGAUGAGGAGGAGUAAGAUAUGAUAUAUUAUAUACCCCCAGUUCACUGUCGAAAGUAGUGUCAGAUAACUUCACUAGCCAUGGCUAGUGUCGGUAUGGAUGUUAUGCUAUUUCAUACAGCUUCACCUUCGGGUGAUAGACAGGUUAUUUAGCUUCACCUUCGGGGUGAUGGACAUGUACUACCUUCGGCCAACUAUGAUAGCCUUUGUUGAGUACUUCACUGACAAGAUUUACAAAUUUGCCUUCGGGCGACGGCAUUUUCAUUAUCAAGCAUUGGAUUUUACAUAUCUACCUUCUAAAUGGAUUUUCAUGGCAUGCUAGGGUUUUUCAUAAAGCCUAUAUGUAGUAUUAUAUAUGUUUUCAAAACAAGGGGUUAUUAUGUUCAUAAAUAAAAUGUUUUCCUAUUAUUAGUAUUAUUAAUAUAAACUUUGGUCCACUCACAUUUUCAGUUUUUGCGCCUCCACAGGAGUUAGGAUCGAGGCACAUGAUCCCGGCAUCAUGGCAUGUUGAUAUAGGUAUCCUUGAAUCUUCCCAGUGUAGAUAUCAUUCCCUUAUUCAUAUCUUUUUAUAGUGAUUCUUCCCUAUUAUUUCUAAUUAGUUGUAUGCUCUAAACACAUUCCUGCUUUGGUAUAAUCGUUAUAACUACUUAUCUUGUAAUUGUUUGCAUGUUUAAAAUGGUUUCGUCACCCUUGGGCGUGGGCUAGCACGUGCCUACCCUGGUAUGUUGGGAUAUCGGGGUUGGGGCAUGUCAAAGAUAGAGAGUGAAUUUCUAGCAGAUUCAAUGGUUGUCUACAUUUUAAAAAGAGCUUGCCGAAAAGAUUGAUUCAGAUGAAAUAACAAAGGAUUUCAAUUCCAUUAAGGAUUGAAGGGCACAACUUGAAUAGGUAUUUUUCUUUUUAUUUGUUAUGUUGUUAUGACAGGAUUGACGAUGUAUGUUUAUUUAUAUUGUAAGUUGCAACUUUAAAGGUUUUCUUUGUUAAAUCUAGUUGAAACUUGAUUCAUUUAGAGUUAAAUUUCUUACUUCAAAUUGUUGCUUUUAGGCUUAUUAUUGUGUAACUUUAUGCAAGCAACAAAAAAUUUUAACCAUUUGAUUUUGUACUAAUAAUUUUAGCUUAGCAUGCCACCAAAUAAUUCAUGGCUCCGCUAUAGAAAUCUUAGCAUGUGCAAUUUCAAAGUCUCGGUUGCCAAGUCUCCCCAGGCUGUUCAGCACCCAUUCUGAAUCUUGAUCGAGAUCUAGAGCAGUGCAAGUCAAGGAGUCUUCAUUCUCAUUUGAAACAAUGCUAAAAUUAUACCUCAGCUUGGACUCCUUGGGCAAAAUAUACCCAAAUGUAUUAGUACUACUUGUGGAUACACCACUAGUCCAAAAAAAUCACCUCUCCUUUCUUAAUCUUCAAUUGGUGAGGGUCCCAAUCAAGCGUGAAAGGCCCCGGCGCACGGUUGGCUUUAGUUUCCCAUGAUGAAAUCGACGAAACAUGGCCGUUUGUACGGUUGACACCCAAUUUCAUGCCCGGUAAAAAGGUGUCAACUGGUAAUCAAAGCUUUACGUUCACUUCUUCUUGUACAAAAUUUCCCGAAUCCAAAAGGAUAGCCACAACAGUAGCAAUACUGUACUUAUGUUGGUAGACCUAGUAGUUUGUGGAGCUGAGAAAAACGCAAUUGGAUUAGGAUCCCCCCCGCAUAAUUUUCAAGGUUUUAUUCCUGUCCAAGGCAAGAGUGCGUACAAAAUAGGGGCUUUACGGUUGCAAAUCCAAGCAAUGUUGCCAUCGGCCUUGUUGCUCUGGAUAGAUACGUAGCUGGUGCUUUUGGAACUGUCGUCGUGUACACAGGAACUGAAACUGAACUUCUCCGAUGCAGAGACCAAAGAACUUGAGGAGUUGAGAGUGUCUCCUGCUGGUUUCAGUGUGUCCCUUGCACUUGCAGCAUUGUGACAGGUCCACAGUCAGCAUGCAAAAAUGAUUAAGUUGAUUAUUGCCAUGAUUAAUUAAUGACCAUAACAUGAAGUUUAAUUUCUCCAUAUGAUGAGGAAGAAAGACAUGAAAUCCAUCACCAGAACAUGAUUAAGAAUUUAAUCAAGCAACGCGUCUUAGUUAAACCGUUACAAUCUUUGUACAAGGCAUUUAUAAAUUAAAAAAAAAGGGAAUAAAGUAAUAAUUACAAGUUUUACACAAGUGACCAUUUAUUACAAUGGUGGAAAGGUGUUAAGCUUUUGCAUGACGGUGUGAGUUCGAACCUCGUCGGUAGUUAAUCUAACUUAUAAUCUAAUAAAAUCUAUUUUUUGACCAAAAAAAAAUAAUUACAAGUUUUACUAAAAAUUUAGGGGUGUGAUAUCCACACACCCCUUUUUACUUCUCUCACACAUUUUUGAUUUCGACCGUCAAAUCGGAUGAGUUGAAGAAGAUCAACGGACAGAAAUUAACAAGGGAUGUGUGAGAAGUAAAAAGGGGUGUGUGGAUAGCACACCCCAAAAUUUACCGGAAGACUUGAUCACCCAUUUGUAUGCUGACAACGGUGACUAGAUUCACAACCUCUUUCCCACGUAAAUCACAUCAUCCAAUUUUAUUUUUCUUACAACAUAUCACGCAUCUGUCAUAUGCAAGACUUUUUUUUUUGUAUAACAUGAAAAAGAAGACUUUUUUGGAAUAUGGAGAGUGAAAUUGCAGCGGAAGCAUCCUAGAUUUUUGAUCGAAUAUUGAGUUUGGUUUGAUGACAGACUUCCUGGAUCAAACACACCCUAAAAAAUAUAUAUAAAAAACCAAUAAGGUCAUGUGAUACGACAUCAUUUCAAGAGGAAAGGUAAAAACAAUCUAGUUUCUAUACUAGGAAGAUUCACUCGAACAAAUUCUUGGAAACUAUGACUCAAACAAAAUUCUAGGAAUUCAGUAUUUUUAACAAAUGAUAAGCGUUUAAGAUAUAUUCUUUAUAAUAUUAGAGAAAUCGAACGGUUGAUGUAUAACUCGCAAAGUGGUUGUAGCUCAAGUAAUUUUACUCCCCAAUUUUACAUAAAACAUAAAAUAAAAACAAAUCCUAAUUUACAUGGUAAUUUUUUUUCAUAGCUAGGGACAACUUCGACUAUGGUAAUGCAAUUAAUAUACACUAGUUUUGGAUGGAGAAGUUUCAAGAUUGAGUAUGGGAUGGGGAGGGGCGAGAGACUUGGAUGGAGAGGUGAGGUUUUAUGAGUUAAACAGUGAUGCAAGGAUGUAUUACUUAAAACUUUAGAGACCGUAUGUUGGGCUAUAUAUAAUAUACGUUCCAUGGAUAAUUGUUUAACUCAUAAACGUUUUGAGUGUUUCUAACAUAUGCUUAUCAAAAGCCUUCUCGUUCCAUCAAACAAUACGAAAAUUUUCAAUUGAAUGAAAGACAUACUAUUUUAUAUAUCACAGUACUUCAUGGAUCAUCAUCAUCACAUAUCCUUAAUUCAAAGGUAAUAAAUGAGCAUCUAGUUUUAUUUUAAUUUUAUUUUAUAUAGGGACUACAGAAGCAAGCACCCUCUGUAAAUUAAACUCUAAAACUUCUCAAGUAUCUUGAAAGGUGCCAAAAGCCAUCAGCCAACUCCAGUUGAUGCAUAACCUCCUACAUUUACAAAAACAGCGUCGCCGUUAAUUUAUUGACUUCUUCCCAGGACACAUACCAAUUUGCGAAAGUGGUUUGACUGAUGCUAAUUAGUCGAGUAAAGUACAGUCUUUUCAAUUAAGCAGAUGCAAAACACUUAGUUGAGGCACUACAAAUAUGAUUUUUACCUUUAAUUAACGCGCUUCAAAAUCUGAACUGGACAUGUAGUUUGCUGAAGCAACAGUUUCAAGUUGCUGAUUCCCACUUAUACCAGCCUCCACCGUCCUCCUUCCAACAAAAAAUGCUGGCUUUGUUGGUGAUGCUAAUCGAAAGCUUUCAUUUGUCAACAUAGAUAUGACAUCUGACAUGGUAGGGCGAUCUGCUGCAUUUUCUUCUACGCAAAGCAGACCGACAUGGAUGCAUCUUAACAGUUGCUCUUUAAUAAACGAAUUUCCUAAUGUUGGAUCCGUUAAUUCUAGCCCUGCACCUUUUUUCCAUAACUCCCAUGCCUGAAGAACAAGGAUUGCAUUUCAUUCUAAAGAAGAAAAAUAUGAUUAUAAAUUUUAAGAGAGAGAUUUGUUUGUCAUACAUAUCCUACUAAAUUGAGUGCGCGAUCGUCAUUGUAAAAGCUGUUGUUUUUCCUUCCACUUAUGAUUUCAAGCAUCAAUACCCCGAAACUGUAGACAUCAGACUUUACAGAAAUAAUUCCCCCCACGGACUCUGGAGGCAUGUAACCACUGCACGAAAUGAAAAAGAAAAUUAGUCAGUAUACUUAUCUGGAAAAAUGCGUGUUUAGCAGUCAAAAGGGGAGGACCACGUCAAUGUGAUGCAGAAAUACUUACAGUGUCCCCACAACCUUUCUAGUGUUUGCUUCCAAUUCAUUUUGGGUGAAAAUCCUUGCCAUACCAAAAUCUGAAAUUUUUGGGUUCAUGUUUUCAUCAAGUAGUAUGUUACUAGCUUUUACAUCUCUAUGAAUUACUUUCUUUCUUGAGUAUUUGUGCAGAUAAAGCAACCCUUGAGCAAUUCCUUCGAGAAUGCUAAAACGCUUCUUCCAAUCUAGUAGUAGACCUCUGAUUGGAUCUGUCCAAUAUGUAGAGUUAAGUAGGACUAAUAUUAAUUAAUAGUAGUACUCUAUGAACUUUGACAGUAAAAUAAAAAUCAGAUAGUAAAUUUAACAAAUGAAAUCAAGUAUCUUGGUUCCUCACCAAAUAAAAAGUGGUCCAAACUUUUGUUCUGCAGAUACUCAUAUAUCAACAUCAUUUCUUCACCAUGAAUGCAAAAUCCGAAAAGGUGAACCAGGUUUGUAUGUUUGAGUUCAUAUAUAAGUAUCAGUUCAUUCUUGAAUUCUGAUGUUCCUUGCCCUGAACAUUUCGAAAGCCUCUUCACAGCUAUUUCUUGUCCCGUCGCCAAUUUCCCCUGAAUUGAUAAUCCAUAUCAUGUUUUUGCUGUCAUCUUUAGGCAAAUGAAGCUAAUUCCAUUUUUUUUCUUACAGCUUUUGAAUUAGAAGCAGAAAUAUUUUUUUUUCAAAAUGUUACCUUAUAAACCGGUCCAAACCCUCCUUGUCCUAGCUUGUUUUCUUCAGCGAAGUUUCUUGUGGCAGCCACGAUGGAUGAAUAGCUAAAAACGCUAAAAUCAUGAUGUCGCUUAGAUUUCAUGAAGAUAAGCAUUUCGUUCUCAAUCUCUGGCCAGUUCUCACCUAUACAGAUCAAUUAUAAGAAAUUAAAGUUUCAAUGGAGACAACAAUUGUCAAAGAUGUGAUUAAUAAUCCUGUCUUACUGGUGCACAUGAUUUAAAGAAAUAUACCAGCUGAUGCAAGGGCUGAUCUUCUUCGUCGGAGUAGAUAGUACGCGGUGCAAAGCACUAGAGCAGCAGCUAUAGAAAUGCCAAUCCAAACCCAUUUAUCUGCUGCAUCAUAAACAAUUAGCUAGCAACAUAUGCAAUAAGUGUAACACACACGCACAUGUACGCAUUAAUUGUCUUCAAUUUUUGGAUGAACUAGGUCUUGCAGGUUUCUUCCGGAAAACGAAGAAAAAUUCGAGACAGAGAGCAGAACUUAAGACAACAAUAACAAAGAUAGAGGUACCUAAUAAUACUGAUUCCACGCGUGUCACAGAUUUCCGGCUCAAAUCGGGUUUGCAGCCUCGGUAUAUAUCCUUCGGAUCAAGAAAAGAAAACCCUUUUGGGCAUUCGCAGGUUGGCCUUUUAUCUGGUUUGAGCAUACAGGUACUGUUGUAACCGCAAACACCAACGCCCAGUCGUAGGCAAAUAUCAUCCGGCAUAUACACCAGAGGACUAAUCCAACUUGCAUUUCCCGUGAAGUUUUUCGGGUGAGAAUAUAAAGCGAAAAUCCCAUCAAAAUCAAGAGUUGCCCUUAUGUAGUUGUCCCUCACCGACACUCCCUCUGUCCCCUUAAGAGGAACUCUUCCAUCAUUUUCUCUUAGAACAAACAUGUCCCCUGAGCUGCUGAACACCAAUCGUUUGCCUUGACUACCUGGCACGUUCCCUGAGGUGGUCUUCGUGGAGAAGUAAGGGAUGUUGGCAUUAUCUGUUGUGACGGAAAUGAGCACGAGGUUUCCAUCACCUUGCAAGCUCAGCUGGAACCGCCCUUUUGUGUAGUUAGUCUCCGAUUGUCUACACGAAAGCGUCCCGUUUCUCUCAAUUGUCUGUCCAGGCAAAACGGUGUCUGUAGGACUGCUGAAGGUCUCCCACAAGCUCCCCGAGUUUUGGUGUUGAAGGACAAAGUUUCCGGUGUCAUUCAUGACCCCGUUCGCAACAGUCCCCAAGGUUAUUUCGGAUUUCCAUAUCUCUCCACCCUGAGGAUUGUUAAGAACUAGUCCACUGUUGGCAGUCAAGUUCAGAACUGAUCCCCCAGGUGCAACCAUGGGGUUGUUACCGUCAUAUGCAUACCAAACUACGGUUUUGUCUGGGAUUUUCGCAUACCAUAUCGAAAGCAAGAAACGAUCAUUGUUUCCGAGGGGCGAAAAUCCAAACGCGAAAUCACCGGAUGGAGAAAGCCAUGAU
rnacentral:lncRNA from 1 species